rnacentral:lncRNA from 1 species
UGUUUUUUUUUUUGUGACAAUGGAAGAAAGUGCAUGCAACUUGAACAAUAUUCACUAAAUUCCUAAACACUAAAUGGUAACGGCUGGUCACGUGUCGUUUAGCCAAUUAUCGGGCCUUUGAAUUGGGCUAAAUGACCAUGGGUUGGCCAGUGCAAACAAUACGCAAUGUCUGAAAUUCAGUGCACCUACAGCAUAGUCUCAUUGAAGCAACAAAUUGAAUUGCAAUUAUUUGGAAACGAUGCAUUGAUAAUAUAAGGACAAAUUUGAAUGUCCUCCACAAGCACACGCUAUGCAAACUCAAUUCGAAUCGCCAUCCACAAAUACACACAUCGAAGGGUGGUUCAGUGUCUCUGUUCCUUAAUAAUUUGCAGAUAGAAGCCAUUUCUAUUUUUGCUAGCGCCAGAUUCCAGCAGGGGUUCGCACUUUUACCUCUGAGACUGAUUGCGACGAAAUCGAAAAUCACUUGCAAACCCGGAAGCGACGCGAGCACACGAAUGUAGAGGAAAAAUCCCGCGAAGACGAUCGAGAAGAAAAGUGCCUGCACCUACUACUGCAAGGCCGGCCCAUGACAUAGGCGACUCCCAACCAAUAUAAAAGAUGAUAAUCUCUCUCUACAGUACCACCUUAUUAGCACAACAAUAUAGCACCCAAACAAAAGUAUACAAAACGAAACGAGCAAAGCUCUACUCUCCAAGUUCUACACAUGCAGGGAGCUUGGUUGGUUGGUCACACACACACAAUUUGCACCACACGAUCACAUCACGAAAGCAUGGAGUUAAACACAAGCUCCGCCGUGUCAGGAUCAAAAUGCGCCUCAACAUGCAUCACCGAACUCACUGGAUUCACUUGCACAGGCCUGCUAAGCAGCUGCACUCCUUGCUUCCAGUAUCUGCUCUCUGAGCUCAACAUACACACGUCAAUAACAGGAGCGCAUCAGAUUUAGUUGCGCAUCCCGGGUUAUGUUAAAUAGAUAUCAAUUAAUGGUACCAUAGGAUGUGCAUAAUCUUUACCUGGUCCGGUGCUUAUCACAGUCGAAUUUUCCUCGUCAAGUACCCAGUCAAUCCAAACUGCGAAACCAUGGCAUAUUCCAUCAUGGGCAAACUUGAUCUGCAAGGUGGUAUGGAGUCCGCAGAGUGAAAAAAAAAAACAAAACAGCACAAAAGUAGAAAACUACAUAAGCAUUUCAGCCAAGUGAGCAAAGCUGCAUCGCAGUGUAUGGUUAACUUGUUCAGAAAAAAAAUAAAGAAGCUUCCAUGCUUGCCAAAUAAGUGAAGAACAUAAUUUCAGUAUAAAUCUGCAUCUGGCCACUACUACUAAUCGUAGUGCUUUGAGGUUUGGCAUCUUUAUGAUUUGCUUAUUAUGUAUCAAUCCUGGUUUCACUACUAACACUGCAACUUCUUAUAUACAAAAAUGUUACAGCAGAAUCGCACCCAAAAGACAUCAAGCAGUCUGUUUGCAUCAGGUCUGAAUUACUGAAUUCAGCCAAAAUCACUCAGACUGGUAUUCAGAUCUUGCAAAUUUAAAGUAACUAGCACAGCCAGAAAGAUUAAAAUGGAACCUUUGUUUUGCCAAAGCAAGAGUGAAUAGGCUCAGAAAAGUUGAAGUCCAUGAGAGAGUAGACUUUACUUAAUUUCUGGAAAAUUUGACAGAUUAUCAGUUGCUUUUCAGUGAAACAAUAUUUGUUGCGUGGUUAAAAUGUGGCAGUGAUGUCACCUUGGUAUAACCGCUUUGCCACACAUAAUAUGGCAGGCAAGGGCCUUGUUGCUCUCUAGGAAGAUCACCACAGGCUCCAAAAGUAUCAUUAACAACCAAGUGAUCAAAGCCCUCAACAGCUUUGAGGCUGCAACGGCUCCUCCACAAGUCCUACAGUACAACAGUUAUCAGAGAAAAUAAAACUACAAAUCAUUUGCCCAAGUGAAAAUAAUAGAGCUGAGGAUAAACAAAAAGGGUGAAUAUAUGAUGGACUAACCGGAAGUGACAUGGCACAUAAUCUUAAUAUUCCUUUACAAGGCAUGAUGAAUGCAUCCUCAGAUAGCAAUGGAUCAAGCAGAGUUCUUUCAUUCCUAGAGUCAGAAAAACAUGAUUCUUUAAAACUAGUUACAACAAAACACAAAAAUACAAAAUGAGUUUCAGAUAAAAUAAAAAAGCUUCAAGUUGUCCUUUGAUGCGGACAAGAAAAUUCCAUAUUAGUUAAAUAAAUCUGUUUCUCAACAAAUCUCAUCAAUGUGGACAAGUGGAACUCUACAAGGUGGAGCACCCUGAUUUCAUCCAGCGCGUACCGAGUCUCAAACUUUUGUCCUUUCUUCUCCCAAAACAGUUAACCCAGCUGGUAUGGGUGGUUCUUCAAGGUCUGUACAUGCAACUGUAACUAACAAUGUGGGACUUAGACCACUACUUCAAGCCAAACAUGGACCGAAAGGGAAAAUAACUGGUAGCCAUUAGUUAUGGCACAAAGCUUGAUUUGAUUGGCAAUGAUUAAUAGGGGUUAAAGUAUCUUACGAACCAGAAACGCAGAUUUUGCCAUGGCAGCAUCCCUUCACUUCCAAGGUAGAAAGGUUCCCCCACUACUAGAUUAACCUACAGUGGUAAAGGAUCAAAGGUCAUUCAUUAUUCAUAAUACUAUAAUAUGAAUCUUGGAAUUAAAUGAGAUGAGAAAUAUAGGACUUAUAGCCUUUACCUUUUCAUGCUUUAAGUCAUUCGUAGUAAGGGAUGAGGCUUUUUUACCAAUGACUUUAAUCCGGUCCAUGGAUAAAUUAUUUGCAUCCGCAACAGCUCGAAGGUAGUUGAAACCCUUGUCCCUAAGACCAGGAAACAUCGUAAUAACUGUUGAAGAUGGUAAUAGAGAAGAAACUAUGAGAGCUAGGAGCACGCUGUCAUCGGCCACAAUGCAGGUUGGAGAAGACCUUCCACUCAUCUGGGCAGAGAAACGUUAAACACGAUAAAGUUAAGGUGAGGAGCUGCACAUGAUAGGACAGCUAAAAGUAGUCUCAGUCUAUACACAGUUGACCAAUACGAUUCUCUAUUCUUAAAAUGAGAAAAACGCACCACAAAUUGGAAGGUUGUGCAAGCUUUUGAAUGUUAGGAUAUCCUAAUAUUUCUUCCGAAGUUACAUCGAGCAAUCAUAGCACAAUGCAGAAGUUCAUGGAAAAAACUAGUUGGAUGAGAAUAUAAUUACACCCAAGUAAAUCGUGGGGGUACUUACAGCAUUUCUAACUGCACCUAUCAAUGCUGAUCUCCAAGCUUUAUCACCAUAAAGUGCUAUCCUUUCUGGCAACAAUGUUAGAUGGUCAUUUUUGGGGCUUCUACUGCUUACUUCAUCAUUCAUAUUCAAGUGAUAUGAGAUACUAGUUUCGUCAUGGCUAGCUCUCAAAGAAAGAGUUUGAUCUUUCAUAGCAGGAGCCCCUGUCCCUUGUAUAAACCAGACACACUGCUUCCAAUGAUCACACCAAUCCUUCAUGCCUAGCAGAUGAAAUAAGGGGUAAAAUGGUGUAAAGAAACUUAAAACAUUCAAAGUAUCCCCAAUAUUAUUACCCUUCAACCAGGUUAUUCUAUUCCACUUCUAGAGAGAUAAAUGAACUAGGUGAAGUCUUGGAAGCUUCACAUGGAGAAAAUGUCAAUUCAACAGUCUACUUUAAAAUAGAUUUGCACAUAAAAGAAUUGAACAAAAAUUGAGGAAGGAGAUGUGGUGUAAUAUGUGUACUCUAAUAAAAAAACAUCAUAUGCGAAAUCACAUAUCGUUUCGGCAAGAUGAUAGGUUGCAUCUGUACAAUGUGCAAUACGAGUGUACCACCAUGCAGACACAGUGACAUGGUGCUUUUUUGUCAAAAAAAUACAGGCAUGGUACUGCACUGCAUUUCAGCACUAUGUUGGUGAUGUGCCAAUGAAAGUUAAACAUCCUAAAUAACAUUUUACCAGCUCUACAUGUUGGGCAAGGCAUUCCAAGUAUAAGAAUCAAUCAAGGGAAUUCCGUUGAAUAGAUGCAGAACAAGAAAUAUCGGAUGAAGUGAGAAUCACAAUUGUUUUACGAACCAUUGACACAUUGUGGUAAAUCCACACCACUCAAUUGUCUCACCCAUCUAGGAGCAGUUGAGUAAAAGACUGAUCCAGCAGAAUCCAGUUGAAGCACCCACCUGCAAUAGAAGACCAAAAAUCAGGGGUAUUUUAGGAGAGUAGAGAGACAACAAGACUUUGUGCUUACCAUGAAAUAAUAGCAUGAGCAUGUCCAUCAGCAGUAGCUUUUAUCUCGAUCUUUGUUUCACGAUGACUAUCUGGUCGUUUCCAAAAGUCAAAUUCAAAAACUUUGAAGGGUUCUGACAGCUAAAGCAAAUGAAUUAGGACUUGGAACAACAAUUUCGUGCAAUAACAUGCGAAGGAAAACUGCAUACCAAUCGUAUUUCAUCUGCCAGUGCAUCACAUUGCAUCGCAUGUUGUUGUGGCUUUACAGAAAGAAUAUUUUCUGUCCCGCUAGGAGUAAGCCACACGCCAUCUUCAGCAUUUGCUUCACUGCUGUGCAGAUCAUGCAUCUUCCACAAGAAUGUGCUCUCAACUAACUAGGAUACCAAACACCAACAGGUGUUGACAUUGAUUUAACAGGAAGGAGUUAUUAUUGGGAAGAACUUAUAUGAUAUUCGAAAGGCAGCAGGCACUACUAACCACUCCAUAUGUCAUAGCUCGAUACGGAACUGUCUUCGGAUUUUUCACCAAUAACUCAUCAUGCGCGUGCUGUAGAGUAGGUAUGAGGCCCUCACCCAAGAGCUCAGAAUCAAGAAUUUCACUUACCUGCACAAACCGGAGAGGUGCUAAAUCAAUUGAUUUCCUUAAUUGUGUUCUGCUACUAUCAGAGCAGGGCCAUGUGGGGGAAGAAAAUGGCAUGGCAGUUGAGCUGAGAGAAAGAGGUGAUUACCAGUAUAUCAGCUCGAGAAUCAAGCUCAGCCCCAACUCUGAGCUCAUCUGAACGCUUGUGAAAGACUUUGACCUUGUUUUCCAUGCCAUUGGCUCUGAGCACCCUCCGUGUUAAUUUGCCCAUUGGAAGGUAGGCCUCGCAUGCCGACACGCUUCCCCUGCCUUCACCUCCAACAGCUGCCAAAGCUCGCGCUGCCAUCAUGGACAGCAACCCAGUCCCAGCUCUGGAUCCAUACUUGGGGCAUUAGCUUCCUUGGAAACAUUUGGGGGCCGAAAGCAGCAAACGGAGGGAGGCAGGCUCACCCGAUGUCGAGGACGCGGGAGGUGGGGUCCGUGACUGUGGCUUCGAUGGCGUGGCGGUAGGCGCGGUUGCGGGCGGCGUCGUUGAGCAUGUCGAGGUAGGAGGUGGCGGCGAGGAGCUGCUUGUGGUGGCUCGGCGCAGGCGCCUCCGCCUCCGCCUCGUCGACGACGAGCCACUCGGAGUCGCCGGUGAGCGGGUUGAGGCGGAGCUGGAAAGCGCGGGUGGGCUCGGAGGAGGCCAUCCGGCGGCGGAGGAGCAGGCGGAGAGCGGCGGGCGGUGGGCGUGGCGCGACUCCGAGGAGGAGGCAGCUCGGCAUCAGGGGUUGGGGUUGCUCGGCGGCGAGGUGGUCGGCUGGCGGCGCUCUGCCUCACUCACGUGGAGGAUCAAAUGGGCCUCGGCGUUCCAACGAGAAACAUAGCCCGGCUCGGCCAGGCCCAUUCACGGCCCUUCAUUUUCAAACAAUUGGCUUUCGGCCUUGGCCUCCGUUUCUGAUCGCGGAAUCGUCGCCGGCGGCCAUGGCGCGCGCCACCCUGCUCCUCCGCCACUCCAGCAAGGUGCCCAUCCUCCUCCACUCCGUCUGCCGCCUGGAAUUUCUUCGAAUCACUCUGGUCCUAUCGCGUCUUCGAAUCACAUUCCUAGCUAAUUGCAGAUAGGAACGACGUUGAUGAUUUUUUUUUUCAAAGUUGGAUUACCAGAAUAUUUUUUGUAGCAGUAUCAGUAGGCUUCUACGGACAAUGCGAUCACGUGACAAUAUAUGUUUCUAUGGUGGAAACCCUGUACAGAUUAAUUUGGUUCGUUUUCAGUUAUACGUUGUGUCGGCUCUUUCCUAGGCUGUACCUAGUAUGAAACGAAAUGCAGAAUUUUUAUCAGGGAGACCGCUGAAAACAAAUGAGAACUCAGGUCUGAGAAACACUUUGUUCACUUUGGCGGUGGACUGGAUGUUCUCAAUCAGAUUUUUGCGCGGUGAUGCAUAUAGGGAAGGGUGAUAUCUCAGGUACUGAACAAACCAUGGCUGAAUUCCAUUGUUGUGUAAAGGUCCCUCCGCAGACGCUUCAAGUACAAGGGCAGCUACCCAUCACUCGUGAUAUAGGGUAUCACAAUUGCUUGCCAUACUGCUCAUAAAUCAUCCAGUGUCUCACUAUCGGUAGCAUUCUCCCUAAUGAGCGGUGGCUUGUUGAUGGUUUUCUUGAUGACUCCAUAUGUAUACUCCGCGAUCAUGAGGUCCUCGCUGCUGAUGCACCAUAAUUGCCACUCAAAAUGUUCUAGCAGUAUGUGACUUUAAUAUACGUUUCACUUAUAUUUUUUUAAGGAAAUCUGGAGCGUGUACAAUGCACUGAGAGUGGAUGAAGAAUUUUUCCCACAUGGUAACAUAUGUUGAAUUUGAACAUGCGUACAUGUUUAACAUGUAGCAUUAAUCCAUAACUCAUUAUUUUAUCUGAAUAUAGGCAAAUACUAUGUUGUGAAUGCAAGAUAUCCUAAUCGUCCCAGUUACCUAGCUCCUUACAAGGGUGAAAGGUAUCAUAUACUAGAAUGGCAUAGAGGUACGGAACCUAAGACUUCUAUGGAAAAGUUCAAUUGGGUUCACUCAUCUAUCCGCAAUGUGAUUGAGCGAUCUUUUGGAUUAUUAAAAAUGAAGUGGCAAAUUCUUUACAAGAUGCCACAAGCAAAAGAUGAUUGUUGCGACUACCAUGGUCCUUCACAAUUUCAUUCGUGAACAUGGAGGUGAAGAUGAAGACUUUACUUGAUUUGAUCUGAUCGUGACCCUAAUUUUGUUUCUACAAUACCGGAAAGAUAUAACAAAUAUGCAGUUUCACAAGUGGAGUCGGAUGGGUCAACUUCCGCACUCAAUGCCCCAAUUAUAGAUGUCUUUCGUGAUGAGCUGGCCACCUCACUCUCUCCUGCUUGGAACUAGUUUGUAAUGGCAAGAUUAAUUUUGUACCCUAUUUGUUGCGACUUUUCAUUCGGUGAACAUUAUUUGGUUGAACAUUUUAGUCAUUGGAAGUUUAUUGGAUCGAACAUCUUAAUUUAUAUCUUGCCAUGUUCCAUUUUGGGCUAAUUUUAUUUUACCUAGGAAGUGAACAGUGCUUGGGUACAGCAGCCGCGGCAAAAACAAAAAAAAAUUCUCCUGAAUGCUUAAAACACAACUAGCUACCCACCAUGGGCAAAAUAGAACAUUCACACCAAGACCUCAUGUUUCUGGAGCUGGACACUACAAUGUGCCAAACACGUACAACAACUCCAUAUUUUUGUGAAGUUAGUGGAGUGAAGUUGGGAAAAUGUGGAGCUGGUUUUUUGAAGUGAAGUGGUGCCAAACACUCAUGAGGUUGUCUCGAAAUGUGGCCCCUUAAUGUUUUUAUUUUCAUCUUUAUUCACCCGCAGCAGCAACACACGUGCGUAUUUUCUAGUUUUAUUAACAUAAAAUUUGCAUUUAGGAGAUAAUCCAUUAUUUUUUACAUUAAGAAAAAUGGAAAUGGCAGAGCAAAACACACUCAGGCGGCUAAGCAAAACUGAAUUAAGCGUCGGCCUUUGGAUGGACGAUGGACGGCUGCAGGAGAAGUUGGAUGCCUGUACGCUGUAGGGAGCGCCGGCCGGAACUGGGGGUGGGUCGGCACGGCGGAGCAAGCAGCGAUGCGAGUCGGGGGGUGGUUUCUAGCUUCACUGCCCAAGCACCUUGUGCGGCAACGGAUCGCCGGCGCACGCCAGGUGUUCGACGAUAUGCUGCUCUCGUCGUGGUAUGCAAUUCUCUAUCUCCUCCUGUCCUACACACAAUCUGCAUGAUCCUCUUUUCUUCAGCAGCUUGCUACUACUGGAUGUCUGGAUCGGAUGCGUGUCAACUUCUCCUGCCUGCUUCAUUUGAAAAUUUGAAAUCCCCGCAGGCCAGCCUGAUCAAACACGCAUUCUUCCUUCGCUAGCACCAAGCACACCUCCUUCUCCGGCCAAUUCAACCCAGCCGCCACGAGAGGAGGAUGAGGGCCACGAGCUCGCCGCUGGAGGAGGCGGCUGUGGCGAGGAGCGCGUGGCGGGAGCCGGACGAGGCUUCGGCGGCGCCGACGAAGAAGGCAAGGAGCGCGUCGAGCGAGCCUUCAGCGGCGCCGAUAAAGACGGCGAGGAGUGAGGCGGAGGCCGCAGUUGGGGAGGCUAGCACCGUGGCUCCCUCCGAACAGGUGCGUCCUGCCCCUUCCUCGACUCCAGUGGUUCGCUACUGGAAUUGUACGGGAUUCGUGUGCAUAGUUACAAUCGGUUGGUUCAGUAUUGGAAUUGGACUGGAUUCGCGUGCUUAGUUGGAAUCACUUCGACUUCCCAGUUCUCUUCUACAUCAUCUUCAGGGACACACACUGAAGAUCCUCUGACUGAGCAAACCAACAAUCACCAAGAUUGCGUCGAGGGAGGAAGCGGAGGACAUUGUUUUCACAUUUCUGUUCUUCAAUGCCCUAUUUGCUGCUGCUGGCCUUGCUUUGUAGUGCAACUGCCCCAUCAUCUAACUCAGCUUGGGGCUGCCCACCAAUCCAGCCUGCAAGCCCCAGCCCAUGUCUGUGACAUGAGGCAUCGUUUCCAAACAGUUGCAAUUAAAUUUGCUGUUUGAAGGAGCAUGUGUAUUUUGGUGUGUUAAUGCUUAAAAAUCUAUGCAUCGAUUUGCGUAAUUAAAGUGUAUUGUUUGUAGUGGCUAUGCCAUCGGGUCAGAAUUUUAGUUACACUGUCGUCUAUUGCUAGUGCAAAUCUUGUUAUUUUCAUAAGCAUUUUGCAAUUUGUUUUACGAAUGGCUUACCGUCUGAUUUUUUGGCACACGUCUGUGCAGAUACAACAAUGACUUGUGGACCGAAGUUGCCAAGCAUUUGUCAGGGUCUAAUUUGAUCCGACUCUCCGGAAAGUGCCGCUGGUUGCAUGACCUCCUCACCAAUGAUUCCAUAUGGUGUUAUGCCUGCUACCGCGACCUGAACCUCCUGGGCAGCGAAUCCAUCCUGCCUGCCGUGAAACUAGCCCCUCACUGCUACUGGCAUCUUCUUUAUGUUGCCAUCUUCGGUAAGCACCAAAUGUCCUUUUACCCUGCUUACUCUUCGGUGUGCUCAUCCUCUUAUGAAAGGAUCGCAUGCAAUGGUAAACAAUGACAUGAAACUGCGUAAGCCCAAACUCUCAUCAUUACUCUCACUUCACUCACUAAUUGGACUGGAUUCGCAUGCUUAGUUGGAAUCAGUUCGAGUUCCCAGUUCUCUUCUACAUCAUCUACGUACAAACUCUUGUAGAGGAUGUCUUCAAACUCUACGUACAAACUUGUCUCCUAUACUCAUCAACACAACCAUCCCUAAUAAAAGUUAAAAGGUAUAAAAUAUGAGGAUGCUAGCAUUCACACAACUACACAAUCAACCCUUUUAGAAAUUAUGUACUUAUGCAAGGAAGGAUUGUGCCAAAUUUCAAGCUGAAUAUAUAAUGGUAACAAAGAAACAAAACUUAGAGGUAAAAAUACCGCACUCACUUGUUGAGGUAUUCACUACUCAAUUUGAUACAAGACUCACUCGCACACUCUUUAUGUGGCUAUCCUACCAUUACACCACUACACUACAUGGCUACCUUACAAUCUCAUACUUGAGACAUCUUAUGCCAUGAUAUGGCUAGUAGGGAGGGGAGCAUCUCUAUUUAUAGGUGCUCAUGGUUCUUGUGGUGUUGCCAUGUGUCAACUUCCACACUCUUCUUUACAAAUAUCUAACUCUAAAACUUUCUCUCAUCCUUAUCCUACCAUAUAAAUAUCUUGUUCUAGAGUAUUUAAAAGUUGGCAUGAAGCAUGGCAACUCUAAGCUCUUGACAUCUCCAAAGUCUUCUAGAAUCUUUAUACUUUGCCAUGAUCUUAUCCUUACGCAUGUCAAAAUCUCUUGUGAUUUCCACAAUCUUUUAGAAUGUUCUAAGUAUACAUUGGAUAUUUCAACAUAUACGAAUAUCUUGCACUACAGACUAUACACUCAUCUUGCACUACAGACUAUACACUCAUCAAGCAACAUUGCUUGGCACAUCUGUUUCCUAUGUCAAUUUGAUAAACAGCCUAGAACAAAGUGAUACUUUAGUGCAAUCGAUAUUGAAACUAUUGUGGUGCCUCUACUUUAUUCCUACACUAUUUUGCUACUUAUUCAAUUCAUUUGUUCCUUUUUCUUUUAAUCAGCUCUACCAACGUGAAUAGGAGGUGGUGAAAGAAGUCACAAAGGCGCAAUCGAUAUUGAAACUAUUGUGGUGUCUCUACUUUAUUCCUACACUAUUUUGCUACUUAUUCAAUUCAUUUGUUCCUUUUUCUUAUGGUGAAAGAAGUCACAAAGGAAGAUGAUGAUGCUCAGGUAGAUUGCGCGGACAGAACAAAUAUUUUCUGACCUACCUUGUUGAUGGAAGAUCUUAGUAAACAGAUUAAUUCAAUCCACUGCUCCACAGCCGUGUGCAGUGGCUGCAUCAACAGACCUGUGUCCACCACCCAGUGAUAUGCGCUUGAACGUCUCCGAGGAUUUGAUGUAAUCAACUGCCUGCCAUAAUCUGCAUAAAUAUUAAGCUGCAUGUCAUUAAACAGCACGCGUUGGCUAGGAGAUGAGAUCGAUGAGAACAGAGAGCACAAACACUUGGCACUAUUGCCAUCUACUCUACCUGCUGCUGAUAGCACAGAGAAAGGGCAAAAGCAUUCUUAAUAAACCAUCAAUGCGUUCGCUCAAAGUGUGGAAUGGUCAAGUCGUACCUCGUGGGCGUGUUUCUCCACUCAAUAGAUGCAUUGUUUGCCUCAACACCAUUCGUUUGGAAGGAGACAGCAGCCUCUUGAACCCAGAAAUCAUUGGUUCCUUGCUGCGCGCAUAGCUGGAGCGCUAAUUUUUUGCCCUUAUAGAGGAUGUCCUCAAAAUCUACGUACAAACUAUGAGGAUGUUAGCAUUCACACAAUUACACACCCUUUUAGAAACUGUGUACUUAUGCAAGGAAGGAUUGUGCUAAAUUUCAAGCAGAAUAUAUAAUGGUAACAAAAAAAAUAAAACUUAGAGGAAAAGAAAUACUGCACUCACUUGUUGAGGUAUUCAAGGAGAGAGUUCUUCCAUUUUCGCUUAUCAUCAUGAGCAGCAGCCGCAGCAAAGGAGAGCUUGCAGGGGGUAGGACCAGGGGCUGGGAACCUUGACGUGAGAGGAGGUCCACGGCUGGAUGACUUGACGUGAGAGGAGGUGCACGGCUGGAUGAUGAAGCCACAGAGGGAGCUUCUCUGUGUGCCUUGCACCUUAGCGAUAGCACAGCCAGGACCAGGGGCUGGGAACCUUGACGUGAGAGGAGGUCCACGGCUGGACGAUGAAGCCACGGAGGAGGCUUCUCUGUAUGCCUUGCGCCUUAGCGGUAGCGCAGCCCCAAGCACUGGUCACGUCGCCGACCCCAUGGCCAGCCUCGCCGCCCUUGACAUCGAUCGGGGACUCCACGGUGUCCUCGAUCCAUGACAAAGAUGGCGGUGCGGCGGCGAGAGGAGCGGCGAGCAAGCAAGGUUUUCCUAGGGUUUAGGAGCAGAGAUCCGGAUUGGGGGCAAAAGAACGCCGUGGCUGGCUUGACUAUCAGGUGUUUAUUGCUUAUUCGAAUCAAUGUCUACUAUAAUCCGACUGUCACCAUCCUUAGCUAUCAUUGCGCCGGCAUAUUAUUAUUGUGCACUAGUAUAUAAUAAACCUGGAUGGAGUAAAUUGCGAUAAUUUUCCCAAUUAUUACCUGUUUCAAAAUGUAAGUCACAUAGAUUUUUCUAUGUAUCUAGAUAUAACCCUAUAUUUAGAUAUAUAACAAUAUCUUUAUAUCAAGAAAAGCUAAGAAAAACAAAAACGACCUACGUUUUUUAACGAAUGGAGACUGCAGAUGAAUAGAUAAAGAGUCCUGGGAUAAAGCUGAGGUGAAUCCGGAGGAUCACCCACUAUCAGAAACAAUAGAUAUACCGAGUGUUAAAUCUUUGCCGAGUGCUUUAUGUCAGGCACUCGGCAAACACACCAUUUGCCGAGUGUCUCAGCCUAUACGCUCGGCAUACAUAAUAGACUCGGCAUACAUCCUAUUUGCCGAGUGUCACAGAAGAAACACUCGGCAAACAUCCAGACGACACUCGGUAAAGAUUUGACACUCAGCAAACUCUCCAACACGUGACUGGCACGUGCGCCGUCCGUUAGAACUACUAGUUUGCCGAGUGUUUUCCCUCGACACUCGGCAAAAGUACUAGUUUGCCGAGUGUUUUUACGAGUUUAGGUCAAACUCCACCACCUAUGCCACCGAACCUAUUCCCUCCACCUCCACCUCCUGCAGUUACUCCUGUGAGUCACUUGUCAACCUUACAAUCAAUCUAAAAUUAAACUAGAAACUACAGGCACUAGAAACUUACAAUAAAAAAGUGACUUAUGUAAUCUCUUUAACUUUGUGCAGAAUCAAUCGGCAAGAUCCAAUGCUUUCUCGGAACCGUCAGCUUGGUCGCAGUGGCCAUCGUUUCCUCCUUAGUGACUUGUUUGAACGACUAGUGUCUUAAGCAUCUACUAUAACCUAUACUUGUGGAUUACUUGUGUAAACUAGAACCUAUACUUGUGAAUGUUAUUUGUGUGCCUAUGAUGCUUGUGAUGCUUAAUAUAUGCCUGUGAUGCUUCUGUGAUUGUUAUUUGAGAGGGGUUCUUUAUACGUACCAAACACUAAAAACAGGGAGAGUUUGGACACUUUGCCGAGUGUAGGCCAAAUUCUGUUAUUCUAGGCCUUCUUUGCUGAGUGUUUUAGCCAUAACACUCGGCAAAGGUGCCAUAAAAUACUGGCGGUUGGCACUUCUUUGACGAGUGUCGUAGGAUUGACACUUUGCCGAGUGUCAAGGAGACGGCACUCGGCAAAGUAUUUAAUCUUUGCCGAGUGUUCUUCCGUCUGACACUCGGCAACAACGCCGUCACCGUGAUAGUCCGUCAACAUUUUUUUGCCGAGGAUUUAACUUUGCCGAGUGCCCGAUAUUUGACACUGGGCAAACAUCUGUUUGCCGACGGAAAAUUCGCCGAGUGUUCGGCAAAGCUUUUGCCGAGUGUUUUUAGGGCUUCGCCGAGUGCCUGGGGCACUCGGCAAAGCUACUGUUUCCCAUAGUGAGCUCUCCAUCCACAAAAGCACCACCUAACUCGGUAGACAUGAACAUCACCACCACCGCCCCCAACUGCACAACACCCUUCCUUCAUCCCAACAGCGUAUCAUCACCCCCACCUUCCUCCGUUCCAGCACCAUGCAUGUUGCUUACGGAUUCCAGGCAGCUUCUUGUUGGAUGAUCCCGGCAGCAGCAUUCCUCCUGGCCGUUUCAGCUUUUUCCUUCGUACCUGCAAAUAGCAAAACAACACAUCUUUUCAGUCAGAGAAAUCAGGUGAAUAACAAAAAUAACUCAAAAACUCUGCCAUAGUGCCUGUGUACACUCAUAAAAAUAAUCCUUUUUUGUACCAUCUAAUCUAAUACAUGCAGCCCCUAAGUAAGCCACAUCACAAACAAUCAGAAACUGUACUAUAAGCUCCCAUUACAGCAGCCGCUAGUGUAAGCUUGUCUCUACAUGCACUGCACCCGACCCCUAUCAGGUGCUGAAAUGGGGCCAGCACGAUGCUAAAAAAAAAUGCCGAAUACACCUGCUGCCGCCGCCACCCCAUUCGGUAAACAGCUAGAUGCAACUUGCUUUGAAUGAACCUAGAAUAUUACACAACUUGCCUCAAAAAAAGACAUCUACUUCAUAUUCAUAGUUUCAUAGAAAGAUGGUGUAGUAGAAAAAAAAUGCAUCCAAUUUUGUUAGCUGGAGUGUACUGGGCGCUAUGGCGAACCAUCUAUCCUCCAACAUCCUUGUUGCUGACAUAAAACUGAUUGAAAGUGAUUGCAUCUAGCACGGUGAUGUUUUGAAAGUGAUUGCAUGCUGGUACCUCAAAUCCAGCAUAUUAUAAUCCUUUAAAUAAAAGAUGGCACAACUAUAGCAAUAAUAAAUUGACUAAAUGAUCACAAAUGCGCAUGUACAUACAUACUUCAAUAAUUAAUCUCACAGUACUCAAAUUCUAAAUAUUGAAAGACCAGGCAGAUGAACAUGCUGGGCCACCAUGUUCUAUCGAGAAUGUAAAAGAGUAUACCACCAAAGUGAUCUGUUCUUUUAAGAAGCAUUAAUCUUGUUUUCAUUCCCCCAGAAAUCUCACAAGUAUCUUGUCAUGAAUCUUAAUUUUUUUUGUUCUUUAUAGCACCGAUAGAAAACUUUAAACCCUCAGAAAAAAUUUAGAAAUAGGUAUCUGGUAUUUAUUUGGUCACCCACUUGUUAGAAACUGCAUAACUAGCAAUUACGUUUAAAUUUCAGAAAUACAUAGGACACAAGUUCCUUGUUCGAAGCCUACUCCAGAAGUUGUUCAAAGUGCUGCAUGCGCUGGAAUUAAAAUGGGUGUCAGUCAUAUAUCCCAUUCCACAUCAUUAUUUACAUGUGUCUAUUCCAGCUUCUAUAAAUUAUUUAUAUUUACCAGCACCCUCACCAUCUUCUUUGCUAACCAGAUUUCUUUAGUGUGUACAAUAGACAUCCUUAACCAGCACUACAACAGUAUUGCAGUCUCAAACAAGAUUAUAGGAACCCUUACUCAACUCUUAUCUUGAAAAAAGGAUUAAUUUUUCAUGUCUUGGGACAAUUGGCCACCAAAGUAUUGCCACUGCAUAUAUAUUGGCAUACACCCUAGAUAUAUACCAAUUGUUAGUCCUACUAUAUUAUCAUCUAACUAGAGUACUCCAGAGGAAAGGCUGUGUGCAUUGUUUUCUAGAGUAGACCAACCAACAGUUUUGUUGCUGUAAUCACACAAUAAAGUUAGGGAUGCACUAAAAAAAAGAUACCUGGAGUCUUCUUGAGGUAUUUGGAUAUCCUGCUGUGCAGGUAGCCAAAACCAGUUGCGACGUAUCUUUGCGCGUCAAAGCCGGCAACCCCUUGUAGUCUGUUAUUCAUCAUGUCUACAGCAAUCACCCAGGCCGGCCCUGGCAUCAUGAUGAUUGAUCUUUACCAUGAACCAAAUGGUAUCAUCGGUAGAAUGCCAGGUGAGCGUGGGAUGAGAUAUGUCAAGCCUCUGGAAGGGUGAAUAGUCCCCAAGCUUGGGAAGGAGCUGAAAUUCCGGGCAGCUCUUGACAUUCAUCCCAGAGGAAUCCAUGCAUGUCACAGACAAGUUGCCAAGAAUCAUCCAACAGAGAGCUAGCAGACACUGGUCUGGUCCACACGGUAGACCUCCAACUAUAAAAUUCAUCGCUGCCGCAGGUUGGGCAAUCCGUCCACUCAUCCCGGCCGCGGACGAACUUGAAGUGACCGUCGACGACGGCAAUAUCCCGAGAACGGUAUGCAUCGCCCAAGCGGGGCGAGCCUGAGGGCCUCGGAAGCGGGACAUAGCGCAGCCAGGGCUUGUCCUUGACGUGGGAGAGGUCGCAGAGGAGGAUGCCCUUCCAGAGGUCGACAAAGGCUAUGGUGGCAUCUUCCCCUCCCACCGCGAUAGCCCUGGUGUUGAAGUGGAGAAAGUAGCCUUGGUCUUGGUAUUUCCGGAAGUGCUGGUCCUCCACUGAGACGUUGGUGGCGGUCCAGGCCUGGAGCUUGGAGUUGUAGACAUAGAGGACGAAGCGGCCGUGUCCAAGCGCGGACUCGUCGUCACAGAGAGCAGCGACCAUGUAGAAUUUCUCUUGCCGGGGACGGUGGGGGCGCAGCAAGGAGAGGCCGGUGCUCCCAUCGUGGUCGUUGGCAGGGCAGCUCAGGAUACCAACCCGAUGGGUAUCAAGGAUGACAUCGCCUGGGGGGCGCGGGAGACGCGUGAGCGACGGACCAUCACCGCCGGCGGGCUGGUAGAUGUAGAAGUCGUUGCCGUCGAUUAAGUCCUUUUCAGGGCUGACGACGAUGCGGAGGAGGACGAGGUUAUCGUCCGUGGCGAGGACCUGGGGCUCCAUGGCGAUCAUCUCCUGAUGCUCGUCGGUUGCGGCGGGGUGGCAGAAGACGCAGAGGUGGGAGACGCGCGGUGGGCGGGCGGCGAAGAAGGUGACCUGGAUCUCCCUACCGCAGCUGGAAUCUGCAACGGCGGUGGGUUCGUUGCGGCGGUCGGCGACGUAGGCUUUGAAUUCGAUGAGCACCGAGGGGAUCUCUUCUUCAUCAUCGCCGCAGGCGUCGAGGGCAGGCGGAUGGAAGCUCGCUUCUUUCACUCGAACCAUGGUGUGGGUGGAUUUUGGGUGUGCUUGUGUUUGGAUGAUGAAUCGAUCGAUCCCUAGCUCUGGAUUGUGCCCAAAUCUACUCCACCUAAGGGGUGUUUGGAUACUAUGUGCUAAACUUUAGCAGUGUCACAUCGAAUGUUCGAAUACUAAUUAGGAGAACUAAACAUGAGCUAAUUAUAAAACUAAUUGCAGAACCCUAUGCUAAUUCGCGAGACGAAACUAUUAAGCCUAAUUAAUUCAUCAUUAGCAAAUGGUUACUGUAGCACCACAUUGUCAAAUCAUGGACUAAUUAGGCUUAAUAGAUUCGUCUCGCGAAUUAGACUCCAUCUGUGCAAUUAGUUUUGUAAUUAGCCUAUGUUUAAUACUCCUAAUUAGCAUCCAAACAUCCAAUGUGACAGAUGCUAAACUUUAGUGGGGUGUAUUCAAACACCCCCUAAUAUGAGGAGGUAGAGGAAGCUGAAACCGAUGAGGAGGAGGCGGGCGGCGGCGGUUCAGACUCCAACUAGGGUAAGCGGACCCGACAGGGCCUGUUUGGCAGAGCUCCACGUAGCUCCAGAUCCUCAAAAACAGCAACUCCACCACAGAGCAGCUCCGACGUGGAUCUAUGCUCUCACCAUGGAGCUGAGGAAAAGUGUUUGGCUGAGAGAACAACUCCAGUUCCAGAAACAGAAUUUUUGGUUGGAUUGUCCACUAAUACCCUUGGUGUUUUCCCAUUUUUUUUCUCAAUACAACUUUAUUCCAAGCAACAUAAUUUAACUAUUGUUGUCACAUAACAUAUAAUUAACCUUCUUCGUACAUAAAUUAAAACCCAAGUGCAAUCCUCCGUAGUCAACUACGUACCAGCGUCUCCCACGGCCACCACAGGAGCUGAUUAGAUAGCUAUCGCUGCCUCCUCGUUCCUGGGCAACAACAAUGCAAAGCAACGGCGGCGGGGACGUCGUGGAGAUGCCAUCCUCGUCCGUGCCACUGCAGGGUGGGCAGGUGCUGCACAGCGUCCCGCCAGAGCAGAGCACCAUGUCCGUGGCAUCUCAGGCCCACACACUGUCGACCGGUCCACGACCGCGACCGCGGGCGCACUCGACCAGGCCAGCCGCGCCUAGGCUUCCGCCACCGGCCGCGCCCCCCAGACCACCUCCACCCGCGCCUAGGCCAGAGGAGGAGCACGGGAUGUGGGCAGCGGCGGAUGAGGGAGAACGGAGAAGAAACGUCGCGAACAGAAAGGACGGCGUCGGGGGAAAGAAAAAUAGAAAAAGGUGCUAUGCAAGGGUGUGUAAUCGAUUGUAUUGGUGGGUAAUUUCUACCAACUCCACGAGGGGUUACAAAACCAGCGUUUUGAGAGCACCCCCUGUGGUGCUCCGUGGAUUUGGUGGAUCUGGGAGCUAGAUCUGGGUUUUUUGCGGAUCUGGAUUUCACAGAGCUGGACCGUUUGGCUGGAAAAACUGGAAGCAGAGCUAUUUUUAGGAUCUGGAGCUACGUGGAGCUCUGCCAAACAGGUACAAUUCUUCCCCUCUAAUCCUCUAUACUAUACCACCGAGUGGCGUACGCGAUUUUUUGCCGCUUUCUCGGGAAAAAACAUAAGCCAAGUCGACUCGAAGGGGAAAAAGAAGAAAUACAGGUACAAUACGGACAACUAGUAGUUACCGCGACCUGCCUACAACCUACAAAUUUUAGCCACCUAAUCAAUACAUUAACUGCAGCCUAGCAAAAAGGAAAAUUGAAAAAAAAAUACUCGUUAUACCCACAGAACUCAGGUUUAUGUUGCACGUCUAGAAAGCGAUGUAUAUAGAAAAGUUAAAAUAAAAUAGUAAUUUGGAAUGUGAGAUAAAGGUUUUUCUAUCGGUUCUAUGGAUUUUGAAGACACAUUCCUUUCGCUACUAGAGAAAUCCUCAUUCGUGUUGGUUCAUUCGUGCCAGCUAUAAAUGAGCCGAUACCAUUAAGUUCCUGGUACUAAGUAUAUAAUAGAGAUGGCACGUAUAAUUCACUGUUCGCAUCGGCUCCAAAUAGAGCUAGCACGAAUAAAGUUUAUUUGUGCCAGCCAUUCUCAGGAUUAUUCGAUCUGGCUGACGUAUGGAUUUGAAAAUUCGUAACUCCUAUAUAUGAAUUUGAAUGGAGACAAAUUUUAUAUAAAAAUUGUACGCUUCAACGAGAUCUAAAAUUUUAUAGUUGAAAGAUUUUUAAUUUGACAUGAAUUAGAAUGAAAAUUAUAAUUUUAGCAUGUCUUUUGCGUCCCUUUAUAAUUUGAAUUUUACAUUUUAUGUGGAAAUUCGUAACUUUGUGAUAUGGACUCACGUGAAGAUAAACUUUAUAUGAAAGUUCUAAGUUUCAACCUAUUCUACAACUUUUUAGUUGAAAGUUUUAAAUUUAAAAUUGUUCACAUAUCAAAUAAUAUCAAGCUUGGAGUUGUAGACAUGGAGGACGAAGCGGCCGCGUCCAAGCGCCGACUCGUCGUUACAGAGAGCAGCGACCAUGUAGAAUUUCUCUUGUCGGGGGCGGUGGGGGGGCAGCAAGGAGAGGCCGGUGCUCCCAUCACGGUCGUCGUUGGGAGAGCAGCUCAGGAUUCCAACAUGGUCAGGAACGAGGAUGAUACCGCCUGGGGGGCGCGGGAGACGCGUGAGCGACAGCCAAUCUCUGCCGGCGGGCUGCUGCUAGAUGUACAAGUCGUUGCCGUCGAUUAAAUCCUUUUCAGGGCUGACGAUGAUGCGGAGGAGGACGAGGUUAUCGUCCGUGGUGAGGACCUGGGGCUCUAUGGCGAUCAUCUCCUGAUGCUCGUCGCUGACGGCGGGGCGGCAGAAGACGCAGCGGUGGGCGGACGGCGAAAAAGUUGACCUGGACCUCCCUACCGCAGCUGGAAUAUGCGACGGCGGUGGUUUCAUUGCGGCGGUCGGCGACGUAGGCUUUGUAUUCGAGGAGCACCGAAGGGAUCUCCUCUUCUUCAUCGCCGCCGGCGUCGAGGGCAGGCGGAUGGAAGUUCGCUUUUUUCAAUCCAAACAUGGAUGGGUGGGUGUUUUGGGUGUGCUUCUUGUGUUCGGAUGAUGAAUCGCUCGAUCCCUAGUAGCUCUGGAUUUUGCCCACCUAGCUAAUAUGAGGAUCGGAGGAGCGGCGGUUCAGACUCCAACUAGGAAAAUUCAUACUACCACCGAGUGGAGUAUCAAUCGAUUAACUCCAGCCUGGCAUAAGGAAAUUGAAAACGUUACUUGUUAUAUACCCAUGGAACACGUCUCGGCCAUGUUUUCCGAGUAUAAAGUGACUCGGCAAGCAUUUUGUACAAAUUUGUGCAAAAUGCUUGCCAAGUUUAUAAAGAUGCCCGUAUGUUGCUAUGACGAAAUGACUAGUGUGCGAUAAUUUUUAUCGUGUCGUGUAGCAUUUACUUAGCGCACCACAUUUUUAUUGUGUUGUGUAACUUUUUGACUCUAGUACUGUUGGACUUUUCAUACAUAUUUUGUUCUUUUUCAAGCCAAUAAAUGAUCUUAAUGUUUGAAAAUUAGAUAUACAAAUUUAAAAAAUCAUGAUAUUAUAUAUGGAUGCAUUUUUCCAGCGAAGAAAUUUUUUAUGAUACAAUAAUAAAUGGUAUGUGUCUAUAUAUUGUAUAAUGACCUAUGAUAGCGGGGGUUUUGUAGAGUGUCUCCUCAAUCUGAUCAAAUAUAAUAAAAUGUGUCCCUAUAACAAGAAUGAAACGUAUCCCAGAUGGUAGGAACUCUUGCUGCAGAGCUGGAGGUUGUGGGUUCAAGCCUUGCAUCGAUUUUCUCCCGGUUCUGGCGACGGACGAAAAUUGGAGGGCAAAACCGUACUUGCUUUUUAAUAUAUUAUUAUAGGUAGAGACUAGUUUUUAUCUUUUUGCGAUUACCACUCUACUAUCUUGAUCCGCGCACAAGUUUAUAAAGCGACUCAAUAUGACGACUGGGUGAAAAACAUACCCAACAAUUCUUGCAGUAAAGUGAUAAGAACAAAAAUAAGGACAUGCAUAGCUUCGUUUUCUUUUAAACCUUAGCCCACCCAAGUGCUUCAUUGCACAAUAUCCUCCCCCUUCACCUUACUUCCUUCAUUCCAAAUUAUUAUCAUUUUAUUUUUAUUCUAAAUUGAAUUUGUCUAGCUCUGACUAACUUCACACGGCAUAUUGGAGAGUUACCAUGUUCUGCAAUAGGUAUUUAAUAAACUUACUGCUUGGGACUAAGUCUUUUGUGUCGUUGGUUCUACAGAUUUUGAAGACCCAUUUUGAGAUCAUUCUUUUUGAGGAUGCCAGUAACCAGUAGGGGGCAAUAUAUUGAGCCUGAUGAUGGUCAGUUUUUGUGUGAUUGCAAGCUGAAUUGUUUGACCUUAACUAUUAUAUUCCUGGAUGAACUGCUCCUUUCCUGCUGCUGUGCUGCAACAAUAAUGAUUACAUGAACUGCCAAAGAUAUAAUCAGCAAUAAUAGCAUCAUCAUCACUAAUAUAAUGUGUACAAUUUGACGUCCUCAACCAGCACGUACGUACUAAGUAUAUACAGUAACAUCUAUCGUUGUCGUGUAUGUUUCUAUAGCAAUAUAAUCUCAUCUCAUCUCACAGUGAAUGAAAAAAUCAUGGGUACACUAAUUGUAAAGCAGAAGAGUAGUUAGUUAUUGUCCAGAGCGAGCGAGCCCUUUCAAUUGUUGAGGUAUUUGGAUAUCCUACUGUGCAGGUAGGAGAAAUGAGUUGUGGUGUAUCUUUCUGCGUCAACUCAGCCACUCCUUGCAGCCUGUUAUUGAUGGUGUCUACAGCAAUCACCCAAGCCUUGGCAUAUAUUAAGCAUCACAAGUCAUUGUUAUAUCCGCACAGAUGUCUGCCAACAAAAUCAGACUAUAAGCCAUUCGUAAAACAAAUUGCAAAAUGCUCGUGAAAAUGACAAGAUUCGCACCAGCAAUAUACAGAAAAUUCUAACCCGAUGGCAUAGCCACUGCAAACAAUACACUUUAAUCACACAAAUCGAUGCAUAGAUUUCUAAGCAUUAACACACCAAAACACACAUGCUCCUUCAAACAACAAAUUUAAUUGCAACUGUUUGGAAACGAUGCCUCAUGUCACAGACAUGGAUUGGGGCUUGCAGGCUGGAUUGGUGGGCAGCCCCAGGCUGAGUCAGAUGAUGGGGCAGUUGCACUACAAAGCAAGGCCAGCAACAGCAAACAGGGCAUUGAAGAACAGAAAUGUGAAAACAAUGGCCUCCGCUUCCUCCCUCGACGCAAUCUUGGUGAUUGUUGGUUUGCUCAGUCAGAGGAUCAGUUUGCCAUUCACAUCAGCUUGAUGGCUGUUGCUCCACUGAAUACACAUUCAGUGAAGCCAGUCAUUUGCUACAUAUUUUGCUCAACAGUAAUUCAUAUAUAUUAAGGGGCACAGAAACUGGUUUGUCAGCCUAGGGCAGAAAUAUCAGUAGAGUCAGGAGGUGAGUUGUUGCUAUUCUACCCGUUCAUUCAAAUGGGGCCAGAAGCAUGUUUCAACUGCAUAUACCAUGGGAUUCUGGUGAAUCCUUUCCUAUUGGCUUGAGGCAAGCCAAAUCUCGAGUGUUAUGGCUAAAACACUCGGCAAAGUGUCCAAACUCCCCCUGUUUUUAGUGUUUGGUACGUAUAAAGGACCCCUCUCAAAUAACAAUCACAGAAGCAUCACAGGCAUAUAUUAAGCAUCACAAGCAUCAUAGGCACACAAAUAACAUUCACAAGUAUAGAUUCUAGUUUAAACAAGUAAUCCACAAGUAUAGGUUCUAGUAGAUGCUUAAGACACUAGCCGUUCAAACAAGUCACUAAGGAUGAAACGAUGGCCACUACGACCAAGCUUACGGUUCCGAGAAAGCAUUGGAUCCCGCCGAUUGAUUCUGCACAAAGUUAAAGAGAUUGCAUAAGUCACUUUUCUAUUGUAAGUUUCUAGUGCUUGUAGUUUCUAGUUUAAUUCUAGAUUGAUUGUAAGGUUGACAAGUGACUCACAGGACUAGCUGCAGGAGGUGGAGGUGGAGGGAAUAGGUUCGGUGCCAUAGGUGGAGUUUGACCUAAACUCGCAAAAACACUCAGCAAACUAGUACUUUUGCCGAGUGUCGAGGGAAAACACUCGGCAAACUAGUACUUCUGCCGAGUGUUGAGGGAAAACACUCGGCAAACUAAUAGUUCUAACGGACGGCGCACGUGCCAGUCACGUACUGGAGAGUUUGCCGAGUGUCAAAUCUUUAUCGAGUGUCGUCUGGAUGUUUGCCGAGUGUUUCUUCUGUGACACUCGGUAAAUAAGAUGUAUGCCGAGUGUAUUAUGUAUGUCGAGCGUAUAGGCUGAGACACUCGGCAAACGGCGCAUUUGCCGAGUGCCCGACAUAAAGCACUCGGCAAAGAUUUAACACUCGGCAUAUCUACUGUUUCCGGUAGUGGGUGAUCCUCCGGAUUCACCUCAGCUUUAUCCCAGUACUCUUUAUCUCUUCAUCUGCAGUCUCCAUUCGUUCCAAAAUGUAGGUUUUUUUGGUUUUUCUUAGCUUUUCUUGAUACAUAGAUAUUGCUAUAAAUCUAAAUAUAGGGUUAUGUCUAGAUACAUAGUAAAAUCUAUGCGACUUACAUUUUGAAACAGGUAAUAAUUGGGAAAAUUAUCGCAAUUUACUCCAUCCAGAUUUAUUAUAUACUAGUACACAACAAUAAUAAUUGGGAAAAUCUUGAUACUUUGUUCUAGGCUGUUUAUCAAAUUGACAUAGGAAACAGAUGUGCCAACCAAUGUUGCUUGAUGAGUGUAUAGUCUGUAGUGGAAGACAUUCGUAUAUGUUGAAAUAUCCCAUGUAUACUUGGAACAUUCUAAAAGAUUGUGGAAAUUACAAGAGACUUUGACAUGCGUAAGGAUAAGAUCAUGGCAAAGUAUACAGAUUCUAGAAGACUUUGGAGAUAUCAACAGCUUAGAGUUGCCAUGCUUCAUGCCAACUUUUGAAUACUCUAGAACAAGAUAUUUAUAUGGUAGGAUAAGGAUGAGAGAAAGUUUUAGAGUUAGAUAUUUUUAAAGAAGAGUGUGGAAGUUGCCACAUGGCAACACCACAAAAACCAUGAGCACCUAUAAAUAGUGAUGCUCCCCUCCCUAAUAGCCAUACCAUGGCAUAAGAUGUCUCAAGUAUCAGAUUGUAAGGUAGCCAUGUAGUAUAGUGGUGUUAUGGUAGGAUAGCCACAGAAAGAGUGUGCGAGUGAGUCUUGUAUGAAAUUGAGUAGUGAAUACCUCAACAAUGUUCAGUACCUCAGGCACCACCCAGCCCUGUAUGCAUCAAUGCCCCGCAAGAACUUUAUUGACAAUAUUCAUUCUGCCUCCAAAAAAUUAAAGAUUGUUGCAACCCGUCACUUCCGUAUGCUCUUCGAGAGUUGUCCUUACACUGCUUCAGAUUGGCAUGUUGCAAAAGGAGAAGGAGCAGAAGCAGGAGAAGAACAUGGCAAAAUCAAACUAUAACAACGAUAUAAAUCACUUCUUAUCUUUCAUAGAAAUAGGCUUCAGCAUUCGGAGGAUCACCCAUCUAUUAACAAUGUGGAUGAAAUGGAACUCUAUCUCGCUUCAACCUUUGAAGACUUCUUACCCGAUCUGAUCAGAAACUUGCUCCUACUUUGCAAGAUGGAUGGCAAAUAUGUUUCUUUAAACUUAUUUUUUUUUUUGGCAAUCUGUUCCUUUUUAAAUAUCCCUCCCCUUUUGUUCAACUUUUCAAGUGCAUGGUCGACAUAUAAAGUCUACAAGUCCUGUACUCAAGGGCGUCCAAACGUCUUAUGCCCAAUAUGCACAAGGUGAGGUCAUUAGGUGCUGCUUUACUGCAAUUUAUCGUGUGUAGUGUGUAGUGGUAGGUGAGCCUCCUCUUUGAAAUUCCGUGGGGCUUCCUGGAUGCAAGGGGAGGUGCCAUCAAGAGUUUUAAAAAUUAAGUUCUAGAAACAUUAAUUGGCUUUAUUAGUUGUAGUGGGCAAGAUAACUCAAAGGCUUUCAUUUUUUCUUUUGCUUGAUAGUCACAUCGCAGAAUCAGCAACUCUUGGAUAAUAGUUUCUGUACCAUUACCCAUGCAAAAUAAUAUUUAGCAGAAAAAUAAACCAACAACUAGUCUAUUAAAGUUAAAAUUGCAAUCAUGAUUUUACGUCUGGUAAAAGCCUGAAUUUGGUGAUAAUGAUAUAUAUUUGAAUUUGUUUAUUUGAAGCCAUCGGGUUACUCCUUUGAAGCAAAUUGGGUUUAUGUGCUAAAAGCCUGAAGUUGGGUCUGGUCUUGGGCGUGUUGUAAGGGUGUUCCACCCUUUAUUUCUUCUUAAUAUAAAGUACAUAGCUCAUGCGUGUUGAGGAUAAAAAGAGAGAUGAUGUUCAUCUUUUUUGUUUACAUAGUGUGGAUCAGCAACACCUAACAAGAACUUGGAACAUAAGAAUUGGGAGUUGGGAUAGAUUUACUCAAACUCUGACAGCAUCUGCAAGAUUUCUGACUGAAGUAACAGUUCCAGAAUGAUUUAAAUGCUCUCGUUAUCUUCGUUUGAGGAAAGACCAUCUGUGGUUUUUGUUUUUUUUAAAGCUUUGCUUAGGUUUUUCUUGGAUUGGGUGACACUUUCUUGAGGCAAACACGCUCAGGCUGCCCCAGCUGGUUGGAGGCUGCUUAUUGCCCCCUAAUUUCUUGGUGUUAAGUGGAGUAAUUAUUCAGAUCAUGAAGCAAGUUUAGUUUAUCUAAUGAACAAAGUGUUCUUUGUUUUUAAUUGUUAUUUCAACCUGUAAUCUCUGUGUCAAGGACAUCCAUAUGAAAUAGUCUUAACAUGACGAAACAUCAUCUCCAGGAUAUCCAUGGAGGAGCUGCGUGUCGAGGACAUCCAGAUGAGAUAGUCUAUCUAACAUGACGAAACAGCAUGUCCAGAAUAGGAAACCGAAUUCAAUUUUCAAUUACAUUUGCAUUCUCCGUCUGAAUAUUUGAUGAUAAACCAACCAGCAGCAAAGGCUCCCAGCCGAGCAUUGAUGAUUUAGAAGAGCAAAUAUGUACCAACAUUAUUGAGCUUACUAGCCGCAUGGCCUUAUUCAUGGAAGUUUUCCAAGCGUCCAGCUUAACGAUGAAUCAUGGUUAUAAUUUAAGUAUUUAUAGAAAAAAGAAAUGGGUAUUGCCAGCCUUUCUACAUCUUGGUUCCUAUCUUAACCUAUGUCUCUCCUUGAUACAUUUUGCAUCUAACGAACGAGUGAACUAUCAUCUGUACAGGUACAGCGGCAUCCACAUGCUUCUCCUGUAAAAAAAAACGAAAAGGGACGCCACUCUUUUUUUCCUUUCCCUAUCGUAAAUUACAGAAAGACCAAAAGGGUAAAAGCUCAGAGAUUUCACGGUGAAGGAUGUCGCCGCCCGUCAAAUAUCAGAGCUCAACCUCGUGAAGAUCCUCACCUAAACCAUUGAACUGAAGCGAUGAGUUGCUGCUGGAACGGCUGUGCGGAGGUCUUACUCCAGGCAUCAUUGGUGACCGCAUGUUCUGUCCAUCGGGUGAUCUGGAAACAGCAGUGCUGCUCAAUUGCUCUGGGUAUGCUCCACUCCAUGAAGACGCUCUUGACCUUGACAUUGAGCUGUUGACGCCGUCUGAGGGUGCCACGAUGUUAUCCAUACUAGGGUACCGCUGAAUGUUGUCCCCACUUGGGUACCGCUGAAUGGUUGACUGCAUCGGUACUGGUGGUGCCGGUGAACUGAAUGCUGCCUCCACCGCUGGUGAGGAUGAGGGUCCAUCCUGUUGAGCGGUUUCACUGUGGGCAUCCCCUGUUGCAUCAGCAGCCGUCUGUUCCGAAGCAACAGCAGCAGGAGUUGGCACAAAGAAUUUUGCACCCGACAGUGGGCUCAUAGAUGGAGCGGCUGGUUUGCUAUACAUUGCUGCUGCACCAAAGGCAUUUGCACCACCACCACCCUUGUUGAAAGUGUCAACAUACCUAGACAAAGAAGAAAAUGUUACACCCAGCUGAUGCGAAAAAGAAAUUAGGAAAAAUAAUAACUAAGCAAAUCACCUUGAUCUAACACCCAUCCUUCCACGUGCUGAGAAUUGGUUCUGGGUGGGUGGCAUCGGUGGCAUCCCAGAACUUGGCUCCGAAGGAUUCGAAGCUUUAGCUUCUGUGAAUCCAUUAGCGGUAUAACCUCCACCAACUGGGGGACCAUUCAAGUUUGGCUCUGGAAUACUGUUCUGGAAUGAGGAUUUCAUCGGAGGUGGGGGAAGCGGAGGCUCCUCAGCAGGGACCUCAGCGCCUUCUUCCACCCACCGCUUCAGCUUCUCAUCAUAGUAGAACUUGUUCUGUUCCCCUAACUUUGCCUUCAGACCAUAAGGUGAUUAAGCACGUUACUACAGUAGGACCAUAGGUAAGAAUAAAAUAAUGUGCUCAGUGAGCUAGUACGUACCUGACGAUGAGAUUUUGAAACAAGCCCCACUGUCUUCUGCACCAACCAUCCAAAGCGUGAACUUCCUGAACCUGAUGUGCUUUGUGCCUUACUUGACCCAGCAGCCUGCUAAAAUAUCAAAUGUAGGUAAAAAAAGAGAAUUCAUAAAUAUUCAGAGCACAGUAUCACACAGGUACCUUUUGUGGGGCUCUGCCAAAGUCCGGCUCAGAAAUACUUCUGUUAUGUGCAACUUCCCUACCAGGGCCGCUAUUUCCUGCCAUUUCGCUCAUAGACUGCUCUGAAGCAGAAGACAUUAGAGGUGACAUGGACAUCACUGACUGAUUAUUUACAACUUUUGUAUCAGGAGGUGAAUAGACAUCUCUUUCAUUUGCAGCGCCCUGUGUCAGCGGCGGCAUCGGUGCAGAUUGUGUACCCAUCAUGCGGGACAAAGAUUUGUCAAGUGAUGUGAAAAGCUUCCCAACAAUCUUUCCAGGGGCAAGAUUUGUUGCAUAUCCACCCUAAAUAGCAGCAAAUUGACUAUCAGCGAAAAGAAAAGAAAUGCUCAACGAAAAAUAAUAGCAACAGUACACGAAGUACCUGUUGAUGAGUACGUAUCCUUUCCUCUAGGGUUGAAAACAAUUGUUUCCAUGCUUCUAAUUCAGGUGUGCGACCAGAGGCCUUCAGAACCUUCAGAGAUGCUUGACAAUACCUUGACAAGGCAAUUCAAUGUCAACUAAGAGCCGAGGAAAAAUACUGAAAUGAUAACUCAACAACCUACCUCAGUGAAUCAGAAACCUUCCCAACCUCCGCAAGCAUAUAUGCAUAUAUCAGCUUGUAUGGUUGAAAUGGCAAGAGUAUGUACUGAGAAUUACCAAGAACCUUUGCAUACUCAUACACCUCCGUUCUCUGUUAGUUGCAUAGGAAGAACCUUUGAUCAGGGGCAUGCGAGAACCAUGGAAAAUCACAGAAAUACUAGAACAAGUACAGAAACCAGUAAUGGAGCAAAAUAUAGAUGCGACCAUAAGGAAUUGCCAAAAUAGAACAUAAGAGCAAAAGCUUUAAUCACUACAAUAACUUAUCAUAUGAUAUACCAACAAAAAAAGUUCUAAUAUGAUAAAAUCCUUUUUGAAAGAUUUGGUAAUAUAUCUGCUCUACAGGUCAAAGGAAUUUGAACUUGAAGCAAGAUACAGAAAUGUUCAUUUCAUUACAUAACCCGUAUGCCACAAUAAUAUCAUGCAAAUUCAUCUGUGUGAUAUUUUCCUAAAGCACUCUAAACAAUCUUCAGUGAAGCAUGAUGGUAAUGUACCAUAGCACCCUCAAUCAGAACCUAACACUUGCACUAGCAGCAGAAGACAAUCUUCAGAGUAAACUAGGAAAAAUAAAUGGUGCAGAUUAACAAUAUUGACCUGGAUGGCUUCAGGGCUGGCAAAUGUGCGUGGACUUCUCAAGUGGUCUGCACCAAUGAGGCACAUCCUUGCACUUUCAGAGUACGAAUCAAUAUUUAGUUCAGCAACUAAAUAGCACAAAUGGGCAGAUGCAACCUGCAUAAAAUAAACAGUGCAUUAAACUCUAACCAUAAAACUGAAACAAGUAUAUUCAAUGCAUAGCACUCAAACCUCAUUUUUCUCCUUCCAAAGGCAAUCCCCAAGGUGGGUAAUUACGAGGUCAUCACCUUUUGUCCUGUUUGCAGUUAUAAUAGCCAAAUUCUCUUGCCAGUCAUCCAGCAUACCCCUAGGAGCAACCUGUCCAAAACUGGAAAGUGAGUUUCAACUUUCAAAUAUUACAAUGAAAAGGAAGGCAUGUCUGAUGAGUUCUCUCAAAAUCAAAAUGCAGGAACUUGAGAAUGGUGAAGCAAAAAAGAAAAUCACUAUACAUAAAAGAGAUGUGACUAUGCGUAUAGUUUCUAAAGAACAUGAGAUGAUGCGUUAAGUAACGCAUCAUGAGAUGAAUGUAGAUGCUUCUCCUGCUUCAAAGUAAACGAUGAAGUCAAGGAUGAUAAUAUUUUCCAUUGAGACAGUUAUCAUUGCACUUAAAACACUAUUCCAAGUACAGUAACUCCAUUCACAAUUUGAAAGAACUAUUCGGAUUGGGCGUAUGAAGAUAUUGCUAUUGGAUUUGUCACAAAAAAAAAUACUUUUGUGAUAUAGCAGUUUUACAAUCUUUUAUUAAAAACAUAAAAAAAUAGUGGUCAAAGUUGCGUAUUGCAGACCAUGUUGAUGUCCAAAAGGAUAUGUACGAAUGGAGGGAGCGUAUAUUACCUCUACAGGUUGAUGGUGUGUAUACAAAUCACCACUGUUGACGGGGUUCUCAGAAUUGAAAACAUCUGCAGGUUGUCCAGCAAUAAGAAGGCACAAUGUCCUCAAAGGUGAUCCAGACACCAAAUGGCAAUGAGCCAUUUUCUUCACUGUAUCCGCAUAAAACUGCAUCAUGAGGUAGUAAAGCAAUAAGAAAUCACUCGGGGAAAGAAAAUCCAGAUGUGCCAUCCAACUAAUCUAGAGACUCCAAGUUUCAAUUCGAAAACAGACCUUAUCACCAAGUUGUAAAGCAAGGAUCAGUGCGGGUCCCCAAAGUUGACCUUCCUGUGCAUACUGAAGGGCCUCUUUCCUUCUACCAGAAACUAGGAGAUUUUGAACCUCCUGAGCAGUAGCCUGCAAUAGGGUAUUUGCCUAAAAAAGGAUAUCCGUUUGUUAAUUAUUGCAGCACAGACAAGAGAAUAACAAUUACCUGAAUCUGGCUUUCCGAAGGAAGAUUCCUCAUGCAAUGGACUCCAUACCCUUUCAUAUCAGCACUGCUCUUACAAGAUGAGAGAAGUUUUGUAACCGCCAUAUCUGGGCCAUCUAUACCCUGUUACAAAUAGUUAAAACAAAAUCAGUAUCCAUACAAAAAUUAAAAUACUAACCACAAUAGAGUAAAGCAUCCCGUCAAAAAGAGCCCUUCUCAGCACAUGAUACAUCUGGCUGAAUUUAAUUAGAGAAUGAACACAACAAUACAUCUUUUCAUUUCUCAGGUCAGAAUACAUAUACAUGGACUAUGACUUGAUUUGUAUACAUGGGCAUUAUCGGACUGAUUAAUCAUCUUCCAACAUAUUUCUUUGUUUCAUUAUCAUAGCUACAGUUCCAUUGAUAACUGAAAAUUUGGUCAUCUUACCAGAGCAAUUGACAAAACAACACAAUCAUAAUACUAAGCAUCUUAAAAGUAUAUAUCUCAGAUGGAAAAAAUUGAGCUUAAGCAUCAAGAUAUCAUGUUAUUCGAGCAAGUAUAUAAAUCACAAUUUAGGAUUGGACUAAAAAAGAGAUCCAGAAGGCGUUCAGAUAAAUACCAUAGAGUAAAUCUUCCACUAUCCAUGAAUGGUAACUUAAAAUAUUAAUACUGAACAAAUCCAUAACAAAAAUAUCUCCUCACAAGUUAUCAGAAACCAGAUCAUAUUUAAUAUGUGAUCUUAGAGAAAACAAAGACUGACAAGGAUGACAGUGGUGUGUGCUAUAUGUUUUUCUUAUUGGAAGAUUCAUAAUACAGUAAAUGACAACUGAGGCUCAAACAAAAAAUAUGAAUUAUUGCGAACAGAAUCAUCUGUGCAAUAUAGUCAAGCCAGACAGAGAAUACCUCCUGUGAUGGGUCAGACCCAAAGGGUGAACGGAGUUUUCCAUAGUGUUGACACAGUAUUUUCAACAACGAAAUAAGCACCUUCUGAACAUCCCCUCUCUGGAAUUCGGUCAGAGAAGAUUCAUAUACUGCAAUCAUAUCAUCAAGCCAUUUAUUCACAUCCUUUGAUGCAGCACUACCACCAACAAGAGGUCCAGGAAUAGGUUGACGACACAAAGCAUGGAAGUAACUAAGCGCACUGCCAUUAGCCACGCUUGAAUGAUCAAUCUUAUCAGCAACAAUUUCUGAAAUAUUAUGAACUGACACCAUCCGACCAGAAUUGCCCUUAGAUUGCAGCAACAAAAGUAAUUAGUCACUACUCACUACAAGAAGAAUACUACAAGCACAUAAUCUUACUGUACCUUAUUUCCGCUGUCAAAGUUUGCAGUAAUGGAGCUCAUUUCUUUCAGAACUACUAGCUUCCCCCCAAAUCCAAAGGUGACCACGGCAUGUGGUGGGCGUCCAGCUGAUGAUCUCUGCUCAUGUGGUGAGAAACCGAACUGUUGGGAUGGACCAUUUGUACCAAUCAGUUGCUGCUGAGCAAAGUCCAUUGCUGUCUGAGUGCCCCCAUAGUUGUUUGGCACAUAUGUAUGUGCAGAGGAGCCAGCAUGCGUUUGUGUAUUGUACAUGCUCUCCUUUGGAACGAAGUCUUGUGGACCAUUUGAAUUACCAUACCCAACUCUUGUUGAAGGUUCAUAUGCCAUGUGGCCAGCCUGGUGAUCUUUAGGAGGUUGGAAUUCCUUGUGGCCAGUCUGGAAAUUCGUUGAAGAUGCAAACGCUCUGUACCCUACCUCCUGACUUGUAGAAUGCUCAGAACCCUUGUACCAACUCUGGUUCCCUGUAAAAGGUUUGAACCCCUCAUAACUAGCCUGAUUGCCUUCACUGCCAGUGUAUUGGCCUGUAGAAGGUACAAAUGUGUCUAUAUGAGGCUUAUAAUUUACAGAAGAUUGCAAUGACUCAGCAUUGGCCUGCUGCCCAAUCUGAUUCUCAGCCUGUUGAUUGGAACUAUAGGAACUACCCAGCAAGCUAUUACCUCCCGAAACAUCAGGCUGCAUGGUGUUGCCCAAUGAAUCCGGUUGCCACUGGCUCUGCUGGCCGUAGCUACUUGCAUAAGAAUCCUGGGUGCAGGGAGCUAGACUAUGGCCUGCCCCUGCGAACCCAUCCGAGGCUGCUGGAGUAGUUGCAGCUUGCGCAACACUUUGUUGGUAUGACUCGAGUGAUUGCCACUGCUGAGUGUUGGUGUCAAAGUACCACCCUGGGUAUUCUGCAUAGAACAGCAUGUUCGGUGGGUAUUCUACGGGAGCUGCACCCCAGGUCGCGGCAUUGGCACUGCUCUCCUCCGCAAUGGUCUCAAGCGCUGAGUGCAAACUGUUUUGCAGGUACGAAGCAUUAAACUGCUGCUGCUGCUGAACUCCACUGCCCAGGACUGCAACAGCACCAGUAUUAUCAGCAACAUAACUCUGUGCACUGGGGGUAUCUACCUGAUACCAUUGCUGCGUAGCCGCAUCGUACUUCCACCCAGGGUAGAGGGUCUCCAGGUAUUUGGGAUCAGUGGAGUCCAAUUGUGCAUUGGUGCUCUGAUCCCCGUAUCCUGCAGCGCUUGCACUGGAAUCGAAAUGGGAAAUUGCAUCGUUAUCCAUUCCACCAUAGAAGCUGUAAUCUGUCAGUCCAGCACCGAUGGCAGCCUUGUUAUCCACUCCUGCAGAGAAGCUGUGAUCUGUUGUGCUAACGUUGUUGGUACCUACCACAGAUGCCUGCAUGCCCUGGUCGCCGGGCACAGUAGCCCCAAAUAAGUCGUCCUCUGCUCCUUCUGGCAAGAGGUCCCCAAACGGAUCUGCUCCACCGGCACUGGUGCUGGAACCAAAGUCAUUCCACUGCACCUGCUUGAUGGCAGUGUGGAUGCCUUUAUGUGACCCUGGGGACCCACUGUCUGGUGCCAUGGCAGCCUCAUCAGCGCUAGCGUGCGUUUCCUGAACUUCAGACUUGGUCUCCUGAUGCAGGACAGCAGACCCUGCCUCCACCACCGCCUCUGUAGCAGCAUCAGGAUGUUCCACCAGAGACUCAACUUGUGGAUGCGCCAGCGUGGGCUCAUGCUCCUCCUCCUCCUCCUCCUUAUGUGGCGCUGGCAUAGGCUGAUCAUCAGCCUGAGUCACAGGCUUGGGUUGAGGAGUCACCUCUGUGGGUUCAAGCCCAGCCUCUGCAUGUGAAUCGUUUUGCAGGUACAAAGCACUAAGCUGCUGCUGCUGCUGCUGCUGCUGCUGAAUACCAUCGCUUGCCACAGCACUGGUAACUUCAGUGGUAACAUGCUGAUCGGUGAGAGUAUCUACCUGAUACCACUGCUGCGUAGUGUCGUCGUACUUCCACCCAGGGUAGAGGCUCUCCAGAUAUCUGGGGUCAGCAGAUUCCAAUUGCGCGUUGGUGCUGUGAUCUGUGGCAUAACCCGCAGCACCAGUGGCCGAGUCGAACUGGGAAUUGGCACUGUUGGUAUCCUUUACCCCAUAGAAGCUGUAAUCCGGCAGCCCAGCAGCGUCGGUCGCAUUGUUACCCGCUCCGGCGGAGAAGCUGUGAUCUAGUGGUGCGCUGGCAUUGCUGGCAGGUAGAAGCGAUGCCUGGCCGCCCUGAUCCUCGGCAGCAGUACCCCCGAAGAAGGUGUCCUCCGCUUCACCUGGCGGGAGGUCCCCGAACGGAUCUGCCCCGGGGGCGCCAGUGCUGGCACCACCAAAAUCGUUCCAGUGCGCCUGCUUGAGGGAGGGGGCGGCGGCGUGGACGCCCUUGUCCGACCCCGUGGACACGGCCUCUGGCGCCGCGGCAGGCACGUCGGCCGCAGCCCCAGGUGGUGGCACGGCAGGCUGGUCAGCCGCGGCCUCAGGGGGUGGUGCGACGGCAGGCUCCGGCUCCAGCAGCGCCUCCUCCUUUAGAGCGAGUUGAGGAUUCGGCGGCGCGGGGUGAUGCUCCGUGAGUGGCGCCGGCGCGGGGUGAUUAUCGGGCUUGGCGUCGGAUUGGUCGGUAAGGGUGAGGGCGGCGAGGUCCCCCGCGGAGGCCUCCGCCUCGGCCGCGGAUGGUAGGCUAGGGCGAUCGUCGUCGGCGUCGUCGUCGGAAUUGACUAGGUUGUCGAAGAAGUCCUCGGUGGUGUCGUCGAAGUCUGCGGCCAUGGCGGAAUUAGGGUUUGAUUUGGGAUGGAUGGAUCUGGCCUGGUGGUGGGGUUGAGAUUUGGGGGCUUCUCUUGUCUUUGUCCUCCCUGGUGGUGUUGGUGGUGGACUUGCGCGCUGCUGCUGCUCUCGAGGGGAAGAGAUGGAGAUGGAGACGGACGCGGAGACGCGUGCGAUGCGGCGGCGACGUCACGCGCUCUUCUCCAUUCGUCGGCAUCGUCUUCUUUUUCCUUUUUCUUUUUUUUUCUCCCUUCCGCAUCCAAGAUCGAGGGAUGUGACGUCAGAUGACAUAUAUGCAUACACACAAAACUAACAAAAGUAGUAAGUCCACGUUUUAGAGCGUUGUUUUUUCUUAUCCACAAUGUCAUUGUCACACCUUGAAAUUUUUUGGAUUUUAGGAUGUGAUUAAAAAGAAUAAUUAAACAAUAAUUUUCUCAUAAUUUUAAAAAAUUUCCAACAUUUAUUUUUCUUGACAGAAAAUUUAGUAUAGAAAAAAUAAUUGGUUGUUUUUCUAAUUAAAUAAAGUGGUUCUAUGUGUGUUGCAUUCAUGCUAAUGCAUCUUCGUAUUUCUCGAGUGCAAAAUGUUUUAAAAUGCGUUAAGUCGACGAUCAGGUCCUUCUAAGAAUUUUCCACCUUUUUUGAUUCAUUCUCAUUUUUUCUAGAACUAAAUCUAUUUAUUAGAAGGCUCUGGAACCGUUUCACGAGCUCUAAGUGUUUUAUUUGGACUUCUCGUGUCACAAACUAUCUCUAGGAUUUUUUCUGGAAUUUUUGGGAUUUUCUGGAUAUUUUUCGUGCUUUAAAAACAUUGUCUAGAAUUUUUUUGAUUUGUUUUGCACUGGAAAUUACAUUCCAGAAAAUAGAAACCCUAAUCCCUAUCGGAUCGGGUUGGAUCCAUCCGAACCCAACCCGCUUCAGCAACCCGAUCCGCGCCACCUUUCUUCUCUCCUUGCAGGUGGACCCCACCCCUUCUUUCGGGCUGAGCCCGCGAGGCUCGGUUCGGGCCCGACCCGCUUGUCUGGCUGCGCACGAAAGCGCCACAGCCGCCUUCUCCUAGGCGUGCGCACCACACAGGCCGAGGCUCCGUGCCCCUAUAAAUAGCGCGCAGCCGAGCCACGCGCUUCCUCCGGCCGACGCCGACACCUCGCGCCCUCGCCUGCAUAAGCGCCGCCACCGGUCCCCCGCGUCCGAUUCACCACGGUCACCGUCCGCUGGAGCAAGCCAGCGCUGCUAGGAAGUCCGCAACACUAAGCCGCAACCUCGACACCACUCGCCAUCCCGAAUCCAGCGUGGAGCUCCACUGAGCGGAGCCCAAGCCACCGCCGCCGGUCAGCCUUCAAAUUCCAACCGCUGCCGUCGUCCUCCACCGCUGGUGAGCACAUCCGCAGUCUCUCCUCGACCUCCUCUAUCUACCGCGCUGCUUCCCCUUCGCCACAGCCGCCGAAGCGCCGCCUAUUUUGGCCGGCCGAGCUGCCAUCCGCCAUGGGAGCAAGCUCCCACACCUUUUUCAAGUUAGCCCCUAUGCUUUUGCAAGUAGACCCUCGAGCUAAUCUGUAAUAUCUGGCCGAUUCUUUAUGUCUUGGUAGAUUUAUAGAAUGACCCCUAAACCUUUUAGAUCCUUUCAACCUAACCUAAGCCUAGACCUUCUAUGGAUCUAACCCUGGGUCCCAACCUAUUUGUGAGCACUAUUCCAUGUGUCUUGGGAAUCUUCCUUGCUAGCCCCUGUUGUCUAGGGUUAAUCACAAUUAGACCCUUCAGCUUGUUUAGCUCAUAGAUUCUAUGUUUAAAUUCCGUUUAACCUCGUUCUUGUUGUGUUAGAUUCAUACCAAUGUUAACAUGUUAGAAGCAAUGUUAAUCAUGUUCUCUGUUUUGUAAUUUACUUAAAAUAUUAAUAUGAGCCAGUACUUGAAUACUUGCUUUUCUAAUUAAAAUCUAAUUGGAGUUACCCCGUAUUUUCAUACUAAAUGUUAAUUUGAUUGAUGUUUAUUUGAAUAACUCUUCUAAUUAAAAGCUAAUUAGAGAUAUACCACGGUUUUUCAUAAAUUAAACUCAAUUUGAUUAAUGUGUAUUAAAUUUGUUUUAUAAAUAAAAGCUACAUAGGUUAUAUCUCGAAUUUUCAUAAUUAAAUGUUAAUUUGACUAAUGUGAAUAUAAAUAUGUUUUUGAAUUAUAACUUGGUUAGUUCAAUACGAAACAUAGAGCUAUGCGCUUAGAUAUUCUCACCUAAGUUAUUUCAGAAUAAAUGUUUAAUUCGUAUAAUUUAUACAUACACAUUUAUUUAUAAAUAAAAAUUUGAUUAAGUUUUAUUACGGCUUUUCAGAUACUAAUAUGAUAUAAUUUAAGUUAAUUCUAACAUAAGGUGUUUCUCUAAAAUUACCUUUACAUAUGGUUUUAUUGAGUUAAAAUAUAUCUUGUUUGAUAAUAAUGUCUCAAUAGCUUUGUCUUUUCAACCUUAGUUUCGUUUUCAGUGUUUCUUUCCUAGUUUUCGUGAUCCUAGAAUCGAGCCAUACCCUUUACUACGCUCUUUUAAAGCCUUUCUGAUUGGUGUAUUGUUCUUAGUUAGACUUGUUUGUUUGCUUUGUAUGUUUGUGUUGGUGAUUGCUUCGAGUAGAAGGAUUGUUGUUUGAAAGCUUUAAAGAUUAAGAGUUUCAAGAGAACAAGAGCUGAAGAGCAGUAAGAGUAACUUUUCGUUGGAGAAAGCCAAAUGUCCCUAAGCAUCCUUCUAUCUAUGCUUAUUUACAAGAAUACCAUACAUGCAUUAAUUGGAAUAUGGAGAACCACCCAGGGAAACAGUGCAACCACAAGAACUAUAUGACUCUGAUCUUGGCUAAUUAAUUAGAGACUCUAGUUUGAAGCGAUCUUACCGAAAGGGCAAGAGGGGUAGUGGCAGAUAGGGUAUAGCCCGACCCUCAGACUGAUCUGCUCUAUGGUAGCUUCACAGUCUUGAGAGAGGUUCAUGCUCUGCUGCUGAUCCGAAAACCUUAGCGGGCUACUUAUUAGGGAAUCUUUGUAAAGGCCUCGUAGCGUCCCUAUGCAAUCACACCUCGGUAGUGUGAUAAGUGCCUACUUUUGCAUAGCAUGUUUGGGUCUAAAGUUCUUUUGAACUUUUACGCGACUUGUGGUGAAAAUGUCAACCUCUGCAGAGUGUCUAAAACUGAUAUAUCAGCCGUGCUCACGGUCAAGAGCGGCCUGAACCCUCACAUGAUUAAUAAACUUGAAGAUGGACUUAAAACGUUAUUCUGGUUAAUUCUUGUAGCCUUGCGGAGGGUAACCAUAAGUGUACUCACCCUUACUUACUGUGCUCAGAAGAGGAAGGUGUGUGAAGUUUUCUGAAGAUGAUGCUAAGUUCUAGGCGUACGCUACCCCCAGUCGAUUGCCUGUGAAGUUUAAAGCCUUCGUUUCCAGAAUUAAGCGUAAAUCUCUAUUAUACUCUCUUAUUGCUUUACGUGAUACUGUUCCUAGCAUAUAUAUAUAUAUACAUAUAGAGAGAGAGAGAGGUAGCACUCGAUCUUGUUUUAAAACUGACGUGACAGUCAUGUUUGGAUCCUCGAGACUUACUCGUAUACUAAGUUGCUAUGAACGAGCAAACCAACUUUGUAGAAGCCGGAUGGACGAUCGGUAUAUGAAAACCAGGCUAUAAGUUAAACCGUUUAUUUUGUUUUGCAUCACUGCGGAAUCGAAAGCAGAGAGAAAUUUGAUUUGAUCUUUUUUACACGUUAUAUAUGGAGCGCUUUUCUUUUUGUCGCACGCUUUUUAUCUGAUACAUAAUCCACGUAUAGAAAGUGCUUACAAAGGCAGGUAAAGUUGCAAUAAUAGAGGAAUUCAACUAGUGGAUGCAAGAUCAUGAUUUUCACGUUAGAUAAAAGAAAACGACUCUCGCGAGCAAACCAAGCUCUAUAUAUACACGCACACUGACACGCAGUGCGGGUUCCCUUCCUAGUCAGCAAAACCGGGAUUGAGUAUGGACUAAAGGUGAAUAGUAAGCUGGUUUAAGAAUCAAAGGGGUUAAGUAAACACAAAACUUAUUUAGGGGGUUAUCCAAACUUUGCUCAUAGUACAGCGUAGUGACACGUGAGUUUCGGAGGAGUCCUUGACAAGAACCGCUGUAGAAUCAUGCAACCUCAACUAUGCAUUACAACGGCAGUUUGUUAGCCUGUACACAUACAGCCGCGUGCAUAUAUACAUACAGCAAAAACUACACACCAUUGAUUGUAUACCAUCCAUCUUUCAUUCCUUGUACCGGAAAAAGGUAAGCCCAAGGGCAUACCAUAACAAACCAGCAGGCUCAUACAUAUAGGUUAAAACGAGGAAAAUUGACAGGGCAAGGAACCACAGGCACAUAAAACUAGCCGGCCAUCUACAUGAUGAGCAAAACUAGCCUAAGGUGGUUAGGGCAUUACCAAGAGCUGCCUAUGUACACAUGCGAUACUACAACAUGUGGCCAGCACCCAGCACGGUGCCAUGCUCCGCAGUGACUCCAACGCCUUGGGUGCUCAAAGGAGGGGACCUUCUCUCACUUGCUCGUUAUCCUGCAUUGUGAACGGUAAACUUAGCGAAAGAAGUGGGUAUUCUGGAGAGAAAGGAGUUGAGGAAGGGAAUGCCUAGAAUUACAUGAAUGGAAGAUGAACGGUGUGUGAAGAGCCCACAUCUUGAUCCAUGCUUGAGUCAUGUGAAGCAAGCAACCUCCUCUGCAACAGAGGGACGACCCAAUAGGUCAGGAUCCAAGGAGAGCCACACUUCUUUGGGAGGAUUACUUGAGUAUCAGUAUAUGCGUCACUAAUGAUGGGUUAUGUUAUUAGCACCUCCAGCUAGUAGGUAUUUCACCACUUCUAGGGAAGGUUUUCCAGAGUGGUGACUAACUAUAACCACAUCCACAGCAAAGAUGCAGAACUUUGCAGUGUGCAUCAACUAGAGAGUUCAGACAACCUUUUCCCAUGCUAACAAAUCAAAUAUGCAUUCAAUUAUUCUACAGGAGAAUUUAUUAGUGCAGUUCAUAACAGAGAGAAAGAAAAUGACUUAAUUCUAGCAUUCCACCAGACCAACUGAAUUGACUAGGAUUAUGGAGUAGGGAUGGAUAGCAGGAUUAUAAAUGGAUUCUACAGUAGUACUAGAUACUUCAUGUGUAAUUUGGACAGUUAACUAUAAACAAUCUGAAAGUCAGGUCAAAAGGAAAAUGAGAUGAAAGUAACAGGUACUUACAUGUUCCUCAAAGUUUGGGCUAGUUAGGUUGAUUGACAGAUUUUUCAUCAGCAACAGUACCUGGAGAUCAAAAUCGUCAAAUACACACAUUCCAUCAUAGGUGAAAAUAUGAAAUGACAAGAUCAAAAAACUUUGAAGGUAUUUGUCGAUUUAAGAAAAUGAUUUACUAAGUGAAAAUGCAGUGCACAAUGAGAGAACCAACAUAAAAUGGUUAGGACCAGUCUACGCAAGCCCAAAAAGUUAAUGACAGUAGCAAGCCUAUCAAUAGUGCCUUGAUUUUCUAUGAAGAGUAGCAAGAAAGAGGUAGAAAUUUUGGUCUCAGCAGGUAUAAACAAGAGAAGGAAACAUAAAAGGUGCUAGUGCUGUCCAAAGAUCUGUCAAAUAUCCUUUGUUUGUAGCAGAGCACUUCCAUUUGCCAUUGAUUUUUUUAAAACAAUACAUGGCAUCCUAGUAUGCACAAAUUGCAAUGGACAAGCUGGAAUGGAUUAACAUUACACCAGACUAAAUACCAACGUGUUAGAUAUACCAUAUGUACUAAACAUCCCCUUUUUUUAAAAAAAAAUAUAUAUCUGCCAGAAUGGUGGUUUUACAAGCAGCUUGUAGACUAUUUGCAAUAUAAUUUGUAGACAGGUCUUCAUUCAAUACAUAAAACAAAGAUUAAGUAUUUUGUUGCUGUUCAUGUAAAAAGAUAGAUUUGUACAGAAAACAAUAUUGAAGCAUGAGCUUCAUGCCUGCAGAUAAGAGUAACUAAAGGACAUGGAUUAACUUUAAAUGGAAGCUGAGAGGAGAUACCGUUUCAGCAUCAAUAGGAUCCAUCUCCUUCAACUUUUGCAAAUGCCCAUUUGUCUCUGGAUCAAAUAUGCUCCCAAGGAAGCUGUAUACACGAGCAAAGUCUGGCAUGGCUGCAAGUUUCACCGGAAUGUGGAGGGGAGAGAAAAAGUCAGAAAAUUUCUUAAGAUGAUGGGGGCAUGAAUGACACAACCACAGUUAAUCAUAUCAAUGCCACCAGAGGGAAAUACAAAAAUAGCAGGUAGGGAUCCCAUUGCACUGUUGCAAUAAGGUCAUAAGAGCCCUUAUCAAUCAAGCACCAAAGCAUUAAUGUCACAUGCAUUAUUCAAAGGACCCAAUUAAGGUUAUGCAAUGCAGACAGAAGAUGGAUUCAACACAUAUAAAUUUCGCGAAAGCAAUAGAGCAGUGAACAGGAAGACGGAGUAAAAAGUUCAUUUGGGCAUAACUGAACCUUCAUAAGAAUAGCCAAAGGUUCACAUCCCAUAGUACUGAAAAGUGCCAAAUAUGUUAACUAUCCUGAUAAUGUGUGCAGGGCAAGUAACCAACAGUUUUCAUCAACCAGUAAGGUAACAACGAAGUAGAUGAAUCUACAAGACUACCAUCUUCUAAAGGCAUUAAGGCAGCAAGAAAAACAUUAUGUUUGAAUUCUUCCAACUUUAUUGGAGGAGAAUCAAGACAACAGAAACAAUUGUUACAAGUUCAAAUUAAGUCCAUUUGCACGUGAACCUGAACAAUGAUAACUAAAAUAAUCUUUAGAUAAUACUAUAAUAGAGUUUGAAAGUAUACCAUAAAGAGAAGUAACAAGCUUAAGACAUUUCAUUUACCACAAGAAAAUAGAAAAGUUAAGAUCAGCAAAACAUUUGCAGACAUAUGGUUGAAAGAGAAGCUCACCGCGCAGUGCUGGAAGCAUAACUGCUUGCUCUGUAGCCUCAGAAGUUGGCCAAGUUCCAGAUUGGCUACCCAUGCUACUAGAGCAAUUAUUUGUUGCACCUGAACCUGCAGCAUCUGUGAUGAGUACCUACUUGAAAAAAAUUGAUCAUAAAUGGAGAAAAAAAGAAAGUAACAAACCUUGUGUAUGCCUUGGACUGAAUUGUUGAACAGGAUCAUUCUCCCAAGAAAGAAAAGCAUCAUUUGCACUUAAGUCAGUAGCAACGGUAGCUGUAUCCAUAGAUGUACCACAGCCUUGUUCCAUUAUAUGAGAAGCUUGUUGCGGUAAGACAACUUGAAGCGCUACAUGAUCCCCAAUCUUUCUUUCAGUAAUUUUGCUAAAAUGUAAAUUUAAUAGCUAUCAAAUGCAGAAUCAAAGAAGGCUAACCUUUUUUCGAGGCUUUGUGUGGAUAUGGAUGGGCAGCCUUCCGUUUUGGCCUAGGUGGGGGCAAAUGCUCACCUGUUCCAUUCUUUUGAACCUUCAAAAAGUACUUCUGGGCGUGACUCCUGAUCUGUUAAAGGAACUGUUAUUUAGAUCAUGCACAGUCCGUCAGAUACAUCAUAGAAAAAAAGCAGCAACUGAUUCACUUUUUGAAGUAACAAAUUGGCUGUGGAUGAGUUAUGAUAUAGUCUUGUUGAAAGAACAAGUAGCAAAAUGUCUAAAAAAGACUUAUUGGACAAAAUAUGAGGCAAUGAAAUGAUCAGUUUUCUUAGUCUCCCAAUAACGCAUUAUUUCAGUACGACUAAUUCAGCCACUAAAGUGUUAAGUAUAUAAUCUUUGCAGCAAUAUAAAAGUAGGAUGGUGGGAUAGUACUAAUUGAUCCUUUAUCCUAUGUUGCAACUUAGAAAAUGUAUUUCACUAAAACCUGUAACUCACCUAAAACACUGUGUGACGAAGCUAACCAUAACCAACUAAACACAAAAACAGUGGCACAAACUUGAGGCACCAAGGGCAGAUUCUGACUAUACCUGUAUUACUGUCUUGGAGCCAACAUAAGCUUCGAUCUUUUUCCAGUCACGAUCGAACCUGUUACAGAAGAAGGAAGGAAAUAUGUAAGAAAGCUUUGCCAGUUGUCACAUGAGCCAUUAUAGAAGUAUGAAAUGUCCUUAAACAACUAAAGCAUCUGUUUAUGAUACUACAAUCCACAAUCAAUUAGAUAACAUGUCCAGGGCGAAAUCCUGAAAGGCAACUAGGCAGAAUGUAACAACAGAAACAUAUAGAUUGAGCCACUUGGGAAGUCAUCUACUGCAUGAAUCCUCAAGCACCCAGCACUAAAGGAAUAACCUAUAAUGACCCAAACUCGUAUCAGCAGUACAGGAAAUGUGUACGUGGAAAGGUAGCUGUAAAUGGAUCCAGUAGCAGUGCAAUCGAGUGUUUUGACUGGAGUGGACUGCUAACAAGAAGUUUCCAUUCCGAUUGUUUAUACAAAUUGUGCAGCAGGUAGGGGGCGAAGUGGUUCCUCUGCAGUAGUUGCCUCUGCAGUUGGGUCACUGACAUGUGGGGUCGGGCCCACAUGUAAGUGACUCCCAACUACUGCAGAGGAACCUCUUCCGGUAGUGGGGAAGGAACACAGAUGCUCAUUGAACGCAGUGCAUGAUUCAAUCGUCAGGAAACUCCGAUCUAAUAUAAGUCAUGCUAGAUCUGGCUAUGACCAUAGAAGCACAGGAGGACGCAACUCGGGCGUAAUUCUGCAAAUCAACCAACGUAAAUGGAUCCCAACGCCAGGGGAUCAGCAAGUCCGAUAGCAUUGCUUGCCGAGGAAUAAGCAGCGGUAGAAUACAGUAGAGGUGGGGGGCAGGAGGAGCGAGACUCACAGCUGCAGCGCCUCGAGGAACUUGUCGUGCUCGGGCUCGGUCCAGCUCUCGCGCGACUUGGUGAUGGUGUAUGGCUUCCGCACCCUCCUGGGCCCCUCGUCGUCCUCGUCCCCUAGCGGCACGGCCGUGGGCGCGGCGGCCUGCACCAGGCGCACCCGGCGCGCCGCCUCCUUGCCCUCCCCGCCGCCGCCGCCGCCUCCUCCUCCGACGCCCGGGACGGACGAAUCGAGAGGGUGCGGCGUCGUGCUCAUGGACACCAUCAGGUGACCUCCUCGACGGCGGGCGCUGCUGCCUCAGCUCAGGCGAAGCUAGGGUUGGCGGUGGGUGAUCCGCUGCCGGCGCUCUGCUGCGAUGCGGAAGAGAAGAGGGAGGAACAGUACAGCUGGCUGACCCAGGUCCGGUGAUGGUGGUCGCGGGCUCUUCUCCUGGCCACAAGUUUCUAACUCACACUGACACCCGGGCCCCACUCUCACCUCUCUCUCCGGGCCUUCCUGUUCAAGGCCCACCAACGGCCUGCCUACCUUGUCACAGGCGGGCCCAUAAACCAGUCCGCAGGAAGAAAAUUCCCAAACCAAAGAGGCUCCGGCACUGCAGGCAGCAUCAGCCAUGGUCGCGGCCGCCACCACCUCCACCUCUGCCUCCCACUCCGACUGAAAACCCUAGCCAACCCUAGCAGGAUGGCGUUCGCGCCGCCGCGCCUCCUGCCCCUCCCCGCGCCGGCGCCCGCCCGCUGCGCCGUCUCCGCGCGCCACCACGGGGGCCGCACGGCCCCGGAGCUCUCGGGCCCCACCCCGCGGGUCGUCGUCGUCACGUCCGGCAAGGGCGGCGUCGGCAAGACCACCACAACAGCCAACCUCGCCGCCUCCCUCGCGCGCCUCUCCCUCCCAGCCGUCGCCGUCGACGCCGACGCCGGCCUGCGCAACCUCGACCUCCUGCUCGGCCUCGAGAACCGCGUCCACCUCACCGCAGCCGACGUCCUCGCCGGGGACUGCCGCCUCGACCAGGCGCUCGUCCGACACCGCGCGCUCCAGGACCUCCACCUCCUCUGCCUCUCCAAGCCCCGGUCCAAGCUGCCCCUCGCCUUCGGAUCCAAGACCCUCACCUGGGUCGCCGACGCGCUACGACGCGCGCCCAACCCGCCCGCAUUCAUCCUCAUCGACUGCCCCGCAGGUCAGCACUAAACGCAUUCUGCUCAUCUUGCGUUCCAUUGCUCCCAUCGAGUCCCAAUUGCAGCGAAUUAUCUCGAUCCAGUGACUCAAUUAAGGAACCAUUUUGAUGGUUUAACUGACCGCUUCGCCUAAUUUUACAUGAUUGGUAAUUUUCCCUAGACAAAAAUACCAUCACUCCUGUCUUGUCCAGUAGUUAUUGUCAUGCAUCAACUGAAUUAAGAUGUUCCAGGUCUCCAGGAGCCUUGCUCUAGUCACUUUUGGAAAAUUCCACUAGUCCUACUCGCACGUUGUGAAUUAGGAGCUUUGGUUGAUGGGUGACAGCACUCGGAAAUUGGAUCGUAAUUUUCCCACAUUCAUCUUCUUUGGUUCUCCAAAAAUAAAGAUUUCAGAGCCAGCAUGCUCUUUGUUUUUUGUAAUGCUAAUCAGUUUUGCAUUGAGAUACUCAAAAGUAUUCAUAGCCUGUUUCCGCAAUGCUAGUUCAUUUUUGCUAUCCGAUGUUCAUAAUAAACUGGUAAUCUCACAAUUCAGAGCCAGGAUGCUCAUUUUUUAUGUAUGGCCUAAUUUUAGAUGCUUGGUAGUUUCCUAUCUAAGAAUGCUUCUAGUCCAAUCAGAUUAGAUAAUGGUAUGAAAUGGAGAGAAUGGUGUUUAGGUUUACGGUUUAUGAGCAUAUAAUGAACCCCUACCCCUACACUCAAGAUGGUGAUAUCAACAUCACAGCUUCCCCGCAUAUCUUACUGUUAAUUGCUGCAGAUUAAGAAUUCAAAUCCAAAAUCAACUUCACCCCUCUCCAUGAUUCUAAUCCAUUCUUAUCAUGGGAUGUUCCGAUUUGUCAAAUUUUAACCAAUUAAUGUGUAUUUUCCACAAAUGUUUUUUGUAUCCAUUUACCAAGACAUUAUUAGUCCUAAAAUGCAGGACAUUAGUCCUAAGAUGUCGUAUCUUAGCUACAUUUCUCAACUGUGCAAAUAAACAUUGUUACACAUAAUUUGCCUCUAGGGUCUUAACUGUGGCCGCAGUGCAUCCUAAGCACUCUCACACUUAUUUCAGUUCUACAUGGUAUGCAGUCAAAUUGACCAAAUGAAUGUUAGAUAAACAGUUGAGGUAAUUCCAUAUAUGCCAUGUAACUGCCUGACAUGAUGUUGGGCCUUUUCUCGCCUUAAACAAGUCAUGGGUUCAUGGCUUUGAAUUUUAAAACCAGGCAUAAUCAUUACGUCUCUCAUGUAAAGCUGAUUGUCAUUUGCCAUGUAGGUGUUGAUGCCGGGUUUGUCACUGCCAUUGCCCCUGCGGAAGAAGCAGUGCUGGUGACUACCCCUGACAUUACAGCUCUCCGUGAUGCUGACCGUGUCGCGGGGCUGUUGGAAUGCGACGGCAUUAAAGACAUCAAGAUCAUUGUGAACCGAGUGCGACCAGACCUGGUGAAGGGGGAGGACAUGAUGUCAGCGCUUGAUGUGCAAGAAAUGCUCGGGUUGCCCUUGCUAGGUGUGGUGCCAGAGGACACGGAGGUCAUCCGAAGCACAAAUAGGGGUGUGCCGUUGGUUCUCAACGACCCGCCUACACCAGCUGGCCUUGCUCUGGAGCAGGCCACCUGGCGAUUGGUAGAAAGAGAUGCGAUGACAGCAGUCAUGGUUGAGGAGCAGGAGAGACCCAAGAAGAAAGGUGGCUUCUUUUCAUUCUUCAAGUAGGUGAGCAUUGAGUUCAACUGUGGAGUUUAUUUAGGCUGUAGAUGCUGUACAGGCUCGCAAUCUGGAGUUUACAGAUUGUUUUUUAUUUGCUUCAUUCUAGGGUAGAAUGAUUCAUAGUUCACGCUUGAGUAGAAGAAACGUGCAUGUAAUUUUGGCUGCUUCAAUUGUUGGAAUUUGGUUCCGAGUGACAUCAAGAAAAACUAAACUUGCUUGUUGCCGUUCUAGUGAUGAUAUAAAUGUUCUCUGUGUUCCUUGUAAUUUUAUCACUGUUUCAUGGAACCAUAAGCAUCAAGCUGUAUAUGUGUGUUUUGAGCGUGUCGCAAAUGGAUCGCGUACAGCACGAUGGAACAGGUUUACCCCAUGCAGGACAACUAUUAGUUGUGCGCCAAACAAACCCAAAUUGAUCAAAUUACCGAAUCAUUCGUGGAAUCCCACUAAGCCAACCAAGAAUUGGAGGUGCCGAGCAAGCAGAGAAACAAUCAUUUUUUCAACACCACACGAAAAGAUACAGUAUAUAUUGAUCCGGUCAAACCAUAACAAAUAGUUCACUGCGCACAUCAUGCAUGGACGCUUGGUCCUGUCAAUAAAAAAAAAGCAGGCGUGCAGCUCACAACCUUGCCCGCGAUCUUUACUUUCUGCAUGAACAGACUGAGCAGAGCAUUGCCCACAUUCUGAGCUCCAGCAAAACAACGAAAUAAAGAUGCAAGUAGAUUUGGUCAAUGGCAACUCUUGAGGCUCCAAGACUUUGCAAGCAAUGAUUAUAAACAGUACUUAAUCAAUAAGCGGCAAUAAUAUGAUGUUCGCAAACAAAAGAGAACCCAUAACUUACAUCUAACAACAGUCCUGCCUUUCAGUCCCAAGAAAACAUAAGCAAUAGUUGCACAUCCAACAACAGUGCUGCCUUUGAAUCCUCGAAAAAAACAUAAGGAGCAGUUGCAGAUUGAGAUAACAAUGGUUCUGUUCUUAGGCCAAAGAUUCAGGUAAUAGAACAAAAAUACUUGCUCUUCUAGAACUUUUUCCCUGCAAGAUUGAUAUGUACACAAAAAACCAACCCCCAAGAUGGAGGUGUAAAGGUAAAGGCCAGCGGAGAGCCAAUCUUGGCCUCGGGGAUCUCUUGACCCUCCAAGAGCUUGGCAAUGGCAGCGAGCUCGUCAGGGGAGCACGGCGUCAGCACCACUCACCUCCCACAACGCCCUGCGGAAGCGCGAGAACGGCCACACCCUGGGGAGUGCAUGAGGUCGGUGACGAAGAACGACGAAUCUGAUCCAAGCUGGGCGAGGAUCGCCCUCGAAGAGGAGGUGGUAUAGACGUCGAUGGCGGUGGCCGCGCAGCAGGACGAUGAACGGAAGGGAGGGCCUGCGGCGUGCGGACUGCUGAGCGGAUGAGCGGGGAAGCUGUUUUGGCAGACGGGCGAAAACGCAGGGGCCUGCAACAAACCAUGUACGCCUGCAACGCUUCAAAGGUUUUAUGCACCUUUGUCGCACAUUCACCACGACAUCAUAUACAGAGCUCAAAUGUUUACUUCAACUUUCCCCGUCUGAAACAGGGUAGGUGUUUAAACACUCAUCGAGACACGGCACAUUUUUAAAAAGGCCUGUUAUGUUAUACAGCACAAUGGUCUCUCCCUCCCUCAUCCACAAGCAUCACAAGAUGAUGAGCCCCGAAAUAUAGCGCCCUCUGACAUACCACGCCAAGGACACAUUUAAACCGUACACAGCACAAGCUUCACUUCAUGUACCUCUGCAGAAAUUUGCGGUGGAAAUCACUUCUGAUGGUGUCAUUGAUGAACCGUUUUGGAGUCUUGGUCUCUCCACGUGCCUGGUUCUUGAACACCACAUCAUCAUCCCACCUGCAAACCACACAUGUCCAGCAAGAUUAGGCACACCAGAACCCCCUUGUAAUUCCUAUUACGUUACAUGGUAGGAGAAGCUGCUAACCAUCAGCAUCUUUACCUUCUCUUAACACUGAAGGAGCCGGGAUUGUUGAUAUUAAUCAAAGGGUUUCCCCGCAUCAGUUCAGCCUCCUUCAUCUUGGCCUCCUCUUCUGCUUGUUGCCGCUCCUGCAAAUCAAUCAUUUCCAAUCAUGCUUCCAAACCCUAAAUGUACACCACACUGAAAUAUCACAAUAGAGAUACAAAAACAACAAACCUUUCUAAGCUUCUCCUCGGCUCUUUCUUUCUUUAUCCUCUCAAGCUCUGCCAUUAGAGCUUCAGUGUCGUCGUCAUCGUCAUCGUCAUCUUCAUCGCUGAAUAGAUUUUUGAUAUUCAAUGUGUAAGCGCAACAAAAGAUAGUGAAGUGGUAGCGUACUAAAUUAUGAGGAACACAAGCUCAACGAAAGAAAAAAUUUGAUAUUGCCUUAUUUUAUCCGCCCAGCAGCCUGAUCACAGGAAAUUUAACGUGCUAGUAUGCUAAGCAAUGCACACCAGUGGAGGUUUACUGAAUGUGACAUAGAAAAUAAAAACACAUGAACGAGAAGAAUCCCAGCAGCAUCUCACAAGUGCAAGGUUUAUAAAUCACUCUAACACUCAGAAGGAAAAUGGUACAGACCUUUCAUCAUCGCUUUUAGGCUCCACAUCGGAGUCAUCUGCAUCAAUUUCUCGUGGGACUAUCUUAUCCUCAGCAUCUCUCUUUGACCCUAUGACUUACAGCAAGAAAGGAAUAAAUCAAUCACUAAGCCACAACAUAAACAGAUAUUGAUGCAGCACUCGUUCCACCAACCUUCUAAGAGUAGCUGGCUUGAACUUUUCCGCAGGUCUCUCUCUUCUGCAGGUAAUAAGAUGCACUUGUUAUGGAUUGUACACACCCCAGUUACAAACUUCCACUUCACAAUUAGAUGACCAUCUAAAGCAGAAAACCAACUAAAAGAGACAGAGAAAGUAGGCAUACCAGCAUAGGACUUAUCCUUGGAAGAGUAAUGCUUGCGCUCACGUUCCUCAAGUUCCUCCCUGAGGUUCCUCUUCUGUAACUCCUCUGUGGUCUGCUGCCCCUCUUUCCUGUACACAUGGGAGCAAAUAGUGAGUCAUAGAGGGACAAACCUCAGGCUGACAUAUUGGGAACGAAAGGUUUAGGCAGAGUGGCAGACAACCGGAGAGACUAUUAUAAUGAAAAAGGAAUAUUUUAAACCCGUCCGAGGAGAUUAGUUGUGAUUCACAGAUGCUAACAGGGAACAUAUACGUAUACAUAUUUGUAAACAGUACACUGGUGGUGAUGAAAUUUCCUUUGCCAUGCCUUGAGAAGCAAAGGAAGCAAUUUGGAUUUGUAAAUGCUUAGUUGAUUACAUAUUUUCCUUCACUGCCCUUUCUCAAAAGGCUGGCAUGAUCAAUCUACAGGUGCCAAGAAAUCGGCAACCUUUCCAGAUUUUAGAACAUUUGAGAGCUCCUAUUGGCUGCCCAAUGGAGAUUAUUAUUAUUUUCUGAUGUGUUGGGGGCAAUUGGACCACUAGAAAUGGUUUCAUUUUUUAAUUCAAGAAACAUUUCUACUCUCAAGUGUGCAGGGGCACCUACAAGCAUUGAUUCACAAGGGUUAUCGAUCAUGCGAAGAAAUAUUCUCUUUUCCCCAAAUUUCAGAGUGGCUAGAGGCUUUACUAUAACUCCUUUUUUCUUAUGCUUUUUGGUUUUCUAUCCUUUGAAUUCUUAGUCCCUUGUAACCCUAUUUUUAUUAGUAUAUAUUAGUCAGCAGGGUGCUUGCCCCUCCUGCUUAUAAUUGGAAAUACCCUCCUGUUUAUAAUUGGAAAAGGUUUGCUAGGUUGAUUAUGACCCGAUUACCACAUGUCCAUUGUAGAAUUGAGUAGGCAUAUAGAAGUUUGUGUUUUGAGCCUUAAUUUCAUAGCAAGACGGAUACACGAGUUACUAGGUUAAUAUUAAGAAAACUCGACCACGUAUAAAACAGUAGGUGUCCCUAUUCGAUUUGCACAUGAAAUCCAAAUUACAUGGCGCAGCCAGAAUGAUCAUCAGAUGCGGUGCACGUGCAUGCUGCUGCCCGCAAGCAAUCAGGUGGAGGAAAAAAAAAAGGUUACUGAGCAACAAGUCAAGGGAGAUUAAUCACUCUAUAAUCACGAUAGGAUUGGCAGCCACAGCUAGGCAGGCAAGGGUUGGACGGCAAUUGCUUGGCUUGGCCAUUAUAUCGCGCCGCGAUCGAAUACAUCGCCCUAAUAAUCGUGAAAUCGCCGCAAAUCAGAAGUCUCCUUGGAACAAACCCUAGUUAUUUCCCCUUUCUUCAGUCGAGCAGAGCUACACGCAGGCAGAGGUUAACGACAAAAUCUCGGCCAGAUCUCUACACAAGGAACCAAUCCGUAGAGAAGAUGGUACGAUUCCAUGGAAGGAAGGAAGGAAGGAAGGAUUAGGGCCAUACCUGGGCUUGAGGGAGGUGUGUGCGGCGAGGUCGCGCGAGGAGUACUUCUGGGAGGGGCCGAAGAUUCGGGUGCCCCCCUGCUCGUUGCCGCCCUUGGCCGGCGCCCAGGUGGGCCGCGCCGCCGUCGUCAUCUCAGGUAGCUCCUUGGCGUGGAAACCCUAGGCGGCAGGUAAAGCUGGGGGCUGCUUCGGUUUGUGUUGUGUUCUGGCGGAUGCGAGGCGAGGCGAGGAAGACGCGGUCGGGUAGGCUGCGGCGGCUGGCCCGGAUAUUUGCGGCAAAGCCCCUGGGCAAGUCUGGUAUUUGCUGUUGAAGUCCUCCUUUUUUCUAGCCUCGACACCUCACAAUAGUCCACGUGGCCCCUACUUUUAUUUUACUACUUUAUUUUCAUUAACGCACCUAGUGUAGUAUCUGAACGUAUACGCAAACACACGCUAAAUCCAUACACCCCCCGCACACCCCUGUGUGCACGCUAGAUCUACAAACUAUACACAAACAAUAUUCUUUCGGAAAUCGACCAAGUCGCACAGUGCGGUAACAGGCACGUCACAUUUAUUACUGUGACUCCACAUAUAUGUCCAUGUGCAAAAUUAAAUUCGAAAUAAGUCCUUUUUAGGUUUUUUUAAGAUGGAUGGAGAAAGGUGGUGUACUUGAGCUGUCAAAAGCACAGGAUGCAGAGGCUUCCGAUGUUUGAGAUUCGUGCGGCCGAUCUCCUUCCGGUAGCUCGGGACGAUGGUGCCACCACUCUCACGCGCUGGCGAGGAGUAAGCUAAGGAGGGGCGGGAUACGGCCGGGGUGGUGGUCUAGGCGGUGGAGGGGUUAGGGUUCGGAGUUGCUAGGGGUGGGGGAUCGAAUGGUUGACGGUUAUAGAAGAGGAAAGGAUGGGGACGGCAUGGAGGUCUGGCGGUGGUGGCAGGUUGGCCGGUGGCAGAGGUGAGGCGGUGCGGGAGGAAGGAGAAGAAGAUGGGCCGGAAGUUAGGAGCCGACCUGGAUGUCCCAUUCGUUGUUCCCGGCCGUAGAGCAGCAUCAUGGAUCGGAUGGGCCUGAGGUACCCAGGCCAGAGAGAAUCGAAUGCGGCCGUCGUCACCAAGGUGUGCAAAGACAGCGGCUGCUCUGCUCUGCCUCCCUAUGGCCUAUGGGUACCUAUGACCCGGCGCCGGCGAGGACACUAGAGGUGUAGAGCGCAUCGGCAGCCAUGGCGCUUUAGCUUAUCCUAUCCUAAUUGCCGGCUGGCAUCCUCUGCUGUAUCCUCUGGGUGCAAAGCUAUGUCAUGUUUAUGUGUUAUGUGUAGGCAGAUUGGAUUCGUCAGGUUUCACAACAUUCUGAAUUCAUCAGACAUGCAAGCUCUGCUGAUGACUGCAUCCAACAGCUUGCAUAACACAGACUCACAUCCAAACUGGUAAUUAAGCACGCCAUGGCCAUCCUACUUCCUUAUUGUUUGCAGUAGUCUCUGCUUCUGCUACCUUGUGAAGCACAGCAGCUAGUUUUAGUUUCC